GCCCACCACCUGCACCAUCGGCACCAUCAACUCCAGCGGUACCAAUAUCUUCACCUGAAUUAGUAGCGAGACCCACACCACUAAAUGGGAUGAAGUUGAUCUUCUCUUUUUUAAAACCAGCUCCUCCACUUCGUACGGUGGUAGCCACAUCCACUGUGGUCGGAGUCUUGUCGCUCAGGGUGGUUGUGGGCAUAUUUCUUGCAUUGCUUUGCACAAUAAACACAAGUGCACAAACUGCUACAAAGAACAACUUCAUCAUCUCUCUCUCUCUCUCUCUCUCUCUCUCUCUCUCUCUCUCAUACAAACUAAGACCAAGGGGAUGUUUGAGGUGAAGGGAGGUGGUGGUGGUGGAGGUGGCUAUUUAUGGAGAGCACAAACGAUGGUGGACAAUUGUAAUGGCUGAAAGUGUAAAUGAAGAAGGUGCAUGGAAUUAAUGUAUUUGGUUCUGAUUGUUGUACGAAUUGAGUAGUACUGUUGCAUUGAACUGACGGGAGAAGUGUUGCAUGGGGUGGGGUUUGAAGAGUGUGUUUGGUGGGUGUGUGCCUUGUGUCAUACAUCUUUCGCACUAAGUGUGGGUUUGGUGUGUGUUUUUGAAUUCUUACUUAUGGGUAAUUAAAAGUGUUAGUUAGUGAGCCAAAGUUCUAUACUUUUGUCCUGGUCGUUAUAUUUCGUGUGGGGUUUAAAAUGUGGCGCUUUAAUUGAUGUUGCGUUUCUUUCUUUUUAUGUGUUGAUUGUGACUAAUCGCAGUUCUUAAAGCAUUGUCAGAUGAAGAAGUUUGUUGGUGUCCCAAAGUAUUUUUCAUUUUUCAAUGGAUUUUUCAUUAGACCGAAACUUCCUUCAUUUUUUGUGGGCUAGAACACCCUUACUCUCACUUUUCUUUUCCUCACCUAAACCUAAGGAAUGGGUGAGAAGCUUCCCUCACUAUUUUUUUUAUAUAAAAUUAACUCAUUUUUAUAAUUUAUAAUUUUUAAAUUAAUAACAACCAAAAAAUUUAAUUAAAAAUAAAAUGCAUUUCAUUAAUUAAAAUAAAAAUUACAAUAAACCUAAAAUUUAAAAAGUAGAAAAUUAAAAAAAAAAACACAAACAAACCAAAAGCAACCUAUGGAAAAUAUUUUUUCAUAAUUAUUUUCUUCUUCUUCAUCACGAGCUCAAAAGCCGGUCCUGAGAGAUGGUCGGUGUUUUCCAUCAAGAACUUCAUAUUCUCCAUUUCUUGCCUCUCCGUGCGCUCCUUCUUCCUUGCUUCUUCUUUUUCUUUGUUGAAUGCCAAAUGUUCAGCAAAAUUAAGAUUAUAUCGAGCAAACGACGUUGUUAUUUUCCGCAUUUCAUCAACGUCCAUGCUGAAAUUCAAUGCACCUGAAGAAGUCCUUUUUCCCUUCCUCUUUGCUUUGUCCCUACCCAUCGGUCGGAUAAUUUAUUCUAGCUCGAGUUCGUCCUCCUGAUUUAAAUCUAGAUCGACCCAAGCAUCGGAGGAAGUUGUGUAACCACUAGAGCCCGUUUUUGUUCGCUUUGAUUGUUGUACUCCAAACAUAAAAUCUUGCUCGUUUUUUUCCACCUAGGACAUCUAACCAAUAAUUUCUAACAAUCGUGCCACUUGAAUGGUUGUCCGACUUCCUCAAGGUAAAAUUGCAAACCUUCUUGAAGUAUUUCUUCGUUGCCUUGGCUGCUUUUUCAUUAGGUUUUUAGGUUGUUGUACAACCUGUUUAUUUUUUACACCCCCUUUGCUAUUUCUCGAAACAUCGAAUUCAGUUGGUGUUUCGUACGGUAGUCAUCAUCUUUUUCUAGCUCCUCCUGAAACCGUUCUAAAAUGCGAAACCAAAAAUGAUCUCCUGGUUGUGCAUUUCCUGUCUUCGAAUCCUCAUAAAUGUCAACGCAAGAUUUUACCAAAACUAGCUCUUCUUGUGGAAGCCAUGUUGUCGACUUUUGUCUUCCCGGUUGUGCGACACCAUUGCACGCUUGUUAUUUUCCUUUGCGUCGUUGUGGGGGUGGUGUGGGUUGAGUUUCGAGAACCAUCUCUUCUUCUUCCGAGUCAUCCAACUCAUUGAAAAGUUGGAAUUGUUGUUGGCUUUGGGUUUGAGUUUGGGGUUGGGUUUGGGUUUGGGUUUGAGGUUGAUUUGGCAAACGUUGAUCGGGAAAAAUAACAAAGUUUGAAAUCAUUUGCGGAGUAACGUUUGGAACUUAGACCGAGUAAUAUUGUCUAACAUUUUAGUAUUGAAAUUAUAGUCGAGAUUGAAUGAGAGUAUCGAGUUGGGGACGAUAAAAUCCUUGUGAUGAUGAAUCGAUAGCAAAAAUGUUUCGAGUAGGGUGCUUAAACUCGAAACAUGAGUUUUUUUCCUUCUAUCGGAGGUUGGGGUUUGAUUGUCGGGAUUCAUUUUUUUUUGAAGAAAUUAGAGGUUGUAGAGGGUUUGUUUGAAGGUUUGAUUGAAGGUAAAUAAGUAUGAGUAUUUAUAGAGGUUGUAGAGGGUAAAAAAAAUUAUUUUUAAACCAAUUAGCCGUUAGAAAUUAAAAGAAAAGAAAAAAAAAACAAAAAAAUUUAACAUUUUACCGUUUUAAACGGUUAGUUUCAAAAAAAAAAAUCUACCCAAUCAGCAAAGGAGCGAGAACGCGACAACCGAUUCCCUCACUCCCUUCCCCGCGCAGCCUUCCCGCACCGCCGGUGCGGUGCUCAUUGGAGCGGGAACCUUCCUGCGGCUCCUCCCAUGCCCCAUUUCGUCCGACCUUACUAUGUGGUUAUUGCUUAAUUAAGUUGGAUGUUGUACUUGGAACUACAAUGCUAUUUUGGUCACUGAUUGGUGUUGUUUAUGAGGUUGUGUUCUUUUUAGGCUUUAUUUUUAGAGGUAUUUAUUUCCUUGGAGAAUACAUCAAAGGAAUUUUUACUCAAAGUACAUUGUAAUUGUGGGCAUAUCUAAUUCAGUUUUGAAUGGAUGGGGUGUUUGUGUUUUUUUUCUUUUGAACUGAAGGUUGCUUCAAUUGUUUCAACAUGUUAAUUAUCUACAUAAUGGUUGUGGGGAGUUUUGUUAUUUAUAUAUUUUUUUCCUAUUCGUGAGUUCCUUGAGCCCCUAGAGAUUCUUGUUGGUAUUGGAAUCAAGUAUAAAUUUAUAGGCAAGAUACAUGAUGAAUAAGAAGGAAAAUGAGUUCUUUAAAAAAUACUUAUUAAUAACUGGAGCAAUUACAAAGUUACAUGCACAGAUAAAUAUAAGUCAACCAUAUUGACUUUUCAUCCUACGAAUGCAUAUAAUAUGGAGCGUUAGUUGGAAGUCGAAGGACAAUGUCAAGAAUUGGUGUCAGUUUAGCUUUGAAUGAUUUCUCCAUAGAAGAGACCAUGGGAGUUAUUUGAUCUUGAGAAAAUGAAUUUGAUGAAGGCAUAUCAAACUUCGACAAUUUCUCAUGAAAGCUAGUAAGCAAAUUCUCAAUCUUCACAUACACUUGAUUAUCUUCCUGGUUUUUCUCUUGUAAACCCUUGGCAUAUUCCUUAUUAAAUUCUUAGACAUCUUCUAUCAUCGUACAAAUGACCCCAACCAAGGUUUCAAUACUACUUUUGACUUGUCCACAAAAGUUUUUUAUUUUGCAAUUUCUUUCUCAAGCGAAUUACGAAGUUCAGUAAGCUUAAACUCAAUUGACUUCUUUGAAGAGGUCACAAGCUUCUCAAAGAGUUCAUGUCUCUCUUUGGGAAUGCAAAGUCAACUUUUCAUCAAGCUUCCUAUCAGCACCUUCAAUUAAAGUCCUAGAGUAACACCCCGAAAAUCUUUACAUAAACGACAGUAGCCUUUUGUUACAUGAAUACUAGCGGUGGUAAAACUAUUUUGAUUCUAAGAGUAUGAAUUGAAAUAAAUUAAAAAAAAUGAUAUUUAACUAAUAUUUGAAAGAAGUAAUUUAUAUUUAAUGAGCAUAUAAUUUAUUUAAAUGAUUUUGUGGGAAUUGAGGUAAAUAAUUCAUUAAGAGGUUUAAAAAGAGUUGUGGGGCCAAGGUGUCGUUAAAAGAAACUUAUAUUAUCAAGUUAUUAGGGUUAGUAUUGUUAGUAAUUAAAUCUGGAAAGUAUAGGGAGUUGUUUUAAAAAAUCAAAUUGAAACUCCUAUAAUCCUAAUUAGCAUCGAGUUAAGAGGUUUUAAUGACGGAUUGGAACGUUUAUUUUUCUAUGGGUUACAUGUACGCAUCAAGAGGUUGCAGAAAAACUGAUUCUCGCUAUUCCUUGUGUAUGUCGACUUGCAAGAAAAAAGAGCCGAUCCUCUAGAAGAAAAUAGACGUUGAUCAACAAAGUGAAAAGAAACAAUCGACUUUUGGAGGGGAGAAGAAAUCAAAGAAUCGAGAAGGGAGGGGGAGAGACGAUUUUUCUUGUCAAUACUAGAGGAGGGUAGGGGCUAAGAAAAAUCAACCCAUUAUUGGUAAAGUUCUCUACUUCUUCUUAUUUUCAAGUUUAAAUCUCAAUGGAUUAUCAAUUGGGUGAAUUUUGGUGUUAAACUUCCUUUUAUUGGGUGUUAAUUGUCUCACUUUCAUUCUCCUAGGAAAAUUUGAAUGUUCAUAUGAUAAAUUUUAAUCUUAUUGAGUGUAUCUUGAUGACUUAUUUCUGUCAAAAUCUUGUUAUGAACACUCUGAAGAAUGUUAUUGUUCAUGUGCUUGAAAUACUCCAAGUUUUUGAGAACAUUGUAUACAUUGGUGAUUAAUAAACUCAUGUUAUUGCUAUCUUGAUUCAAGUGGGUAAUUUUAUGUAAAAAGACCAUGUUUUGAGACAUCAAAAUGUCUUCAAAAAAAUACCUAAAAGGUCUUAAUAGGAGGCUUAAGUGUGGGGGAAACUCAAGGCCUAAUGGUGUUUCCUCUUUUAGCAAUGAACUUUGUUUUUCCUAUAAAAGCAUUGCACUUUGAGUCAUGAUUUGAGGUUGUAUUUUCCAUUAUAAUUUUUUAACAUAUAAUUACUAUUAAGAACUCAAAUUUCAUCUUUAUAAAUGAUUUUGGUUAAGGCUUAAUGGGUUACGUUGUCAAUUAACCCUUAAAAAUGCAUUGCUAGGAAAUUCUGAAAAAUUACUAAUCUAUCCAUGUUUUGGAGAAAAAUAUAGAAGAAUCAUUAGGAGUUAUAUUGGGGAUCCGUAAACUCUCAAAGUUUUAAUUUUAAGUCUAGUUUGUUCAUGAUUUUUCCUAAGACCUUAUAUUCUCCCUAACCAAGAUGAAAAUCGUCUUUUCACUGAUUGGUCAGAAAUUAGCUGCACGGGCAUGCUGUCUUGUAAAAUUCAUAGAAAAUUCUAGAAACAUCGUAUGGACUUGCGCAAGCACUUUCUAAAAAGAUAAAAGUCUAAUCUACUAGAAUAUGAAAACAAAUUGCAAAUUAUUCAGGUAUAAGCGGGGAUAAAGUGGCCUUGAAUAGGUUGUUGUUUCAGGACAAAAUAUGAGAAUUUGACCUAAUGACUAUUUUGCAUCUUUGGGUAGUUAAUUGGCGUUAUUUGUUCAUGUGAACUUCUAGUAAUACAUUUUUUUGUGGUUUAAUAUGGAAAGGUUUGAUACCUUAGUUACUAAAAGAGUUGAAGUGUAGAUAGCACGUGUUUUUGAAAAAAAAUGAGUCAAUCUUUGUGGUUAUUUAGAGUACUUGUUAGGGAUUCCACAUCUUAGAGGGUUUGGAAUGAACCUAGGUUGUUUACGUUGCAUGUACCCCAAUUGUGAAUGAUAUUUUGAUAUAAAUAAUGUUUCCUUCAUCCUAUACUUUUUGGUUGCUAUUUUGAUGUGAGGGGUGUGAUAGGUCCAUGAUAGAAGGAGAGAUUUGUGUUGAUUGUGUGUGAAUAUAUGCAUGUAAUAGUUCAUUGGUAAUAUUUGUCUGUGUUGGUUAGGACAAUGCAUGGUAGAGAUAUAAUGUGACUUAAUGAUGAAGUGAUGCUAUGAGCAUGAUUAUAUAAAAGAUGUAAAAUGCCUUAACUUGUGAUACCUUGUUGUGUGUUUAAAUAAUUUGAAGUAUGGAAGUAAUAUCACAUCUAAUAUUAUUAAUUGAAAUUGAGCAUUAUUAAUUAAGGAGGUUUGUAGUGUAAUCCUUAUGUGAUGAUUAAUAAUUUAUUAAUUAAAAAGGGGAAUACACUUAGUGGGGAGUAAAGGGUAGCAACCUAGACUUAGGUGUGUGUAUUGUAUCCGGAUACUUUUGAGGGCCUUAUAGGUUGAAAGAUACCUAAAGGGAAAGAACAUAAGCCAAAUGGUGACGUCGAGUGGUUUUUCUAGACCAUCACUUAGGACAUGGUUCACGAACAUUAAGGUGUUCGAGGACUGGAGUGAUAUUUUCAUAAUGAUGGCGCAGGAUUAAAUAUCAUGUUUGAGUGGGAAGUUUGUAGUGAUAGGAAACAAUGACAAGUACCACUCUCGAACGACAAUGCAUAUACUUGUAUGUGCAACGUUGGAGUAGCGAACAUAGAGAACCGAGAGUAAUGUUACGAGUGAGAGUCGUGCCUUACUUAGUGCAUUGGGUUGAGCCGAUCUCGUUAGUAGUGAAUGAGGUUUUUACCUCUUGGGUUAGUGAUGGACCCAGUAGGGUAGGGUUGGGUCGGUCACUUAGUAGUGAAUGGAUUUUGCCUUCAGGUUAGUGAUGAACCUAUGUGUGGGGCGUCUACAUUACGGGUUAGUGAUGGAACCAUGUGUGGAGAGUCUUCCUUGAGGAUUAGUGGUGGACCCAGGGCUAGGAAUAAUUAAUAAUUAUCUCUUUUUAAAAGAUAAAUAAUAACGAUAGACCUUAAGGACACUCUAGUGAUGAACAUGCAAUGUAUGUGAUGUAUAUGAUGUGUGUGAUGUAUGUGAUGAUAUGCUAUGUGUGUUUUCCUAUCAUUAUACUUAUGGUUGAAUCACUUAAAGUUUUCUAACACUUGUUUCUUUGCUUUUUUUUUUUGCAUUGCAUUGGUACAAGUAGCAUAGUUUUUCGGCUUGGUGAGGAUGGGGAUUUUGGGUACUUACAUUCUAGUUUAUGUCAUAGUAUUGAUACUAUAUGGGCAUGUAGUUGAGUUUUCUUAAUACUUGUUUUUGAGAACUUGUUUUGAUUUGGUUUAUGAACUUUAUUUUGAUGAAUUAUGUGUUUGGUAAUAAAAGUAACAUGGUGAUGGUUUCAUAAAUUCAAAAUAAGACUUCCGCUAACGUAUUCUUUUUAAAAUAUGUUUAAAAAUAAAAAGAAAAAUUUGGGUGAAUAAUCUUGAUGUUACACCUAGUCCUCCACUCUUUUGAAUUUAACAUGUAUUCAACCUCAACCCCACUAACUGAUGACUUUCCAACACUAUCAUUUAGAAAUGAAAGAAUAGUAUUCAAUUUUGAAUUAAGGAUCUUGAACUAUUUACUAGAGAUGAUGGCAUUAUCAGGAACAUCAUCCUCAUCUGUAAAUCUGCAAAUAUAACCAUGAUAUCAUCUUCAUCUGCUUCUUCUUCAUUAACAAUUUUCUCAACCUCUAUGGAUUGAGAUAAGAAUAAAGAUGUAAUGUGUUCGUUCAUCACCACUUUAUAAGUUGGUGAAACAACUAUAGUGGAUGUAGGUGGAAUGGUAGAUGUUUGUGGUGGUGGUGGAACAAUUGUAGUAUUAAUGAUAAAUGUCAAACUCACAACACCCAUAGUAACAUUUACAUACUUGUUAUAUAAGUUCACAUUAAUGUUUGAAGUUUUGUCCUCCUCCAUAUUAGACUUGGAAUGUGAAACCUUGGGUGUUGUGACUUUUGUCUGCUUAGGGAGUGAUGUAAUGAGUUGUUCACUUUAAUUGAUGUUUGGGUCCUUAUCAAAUAUUUUCACAUUGACAUUAAGAGUACUUGUCUCUUCAAAAAUCAAUUUGACAAAGGUAUCCUUCCUGGGUGAAAUACGAAGCUAACCAUCCAAUGCAUCGCCAAUUUCUUUGCUAUCAUCAUCUGUUUCAACCUUAAGAUUCAUCAUAUGCAUGUCAUAAAAAAGGCUUAAACUUCUUCAACUUUUGAACAACCUCUAACUCUUUUCGCUUCUUUGAAGCUGGAGAAUCAAGAGUCGAAACUUUUCUAAUCAUAACACCACGCUUUCUUACCUUCAUCUAUGUCAUCUUUGACUUCUUUGGGAUGGCCAUUUGAGUAAUAGAUUCCCCCUCUUGAGUGGUGUUUUCAUCAAAUAGAGUAGGAACCUCCUCAGUAAAUUUCUCAGAUUUCUUCUUAGGGUGUUUAUCUGGUGGCUUCUUAGAUUGCUUCUCAAGAACAUAUUUAUUAGUCUUUUUAAGCACCCCUUUCCAGACUUAUGUGUUUAUGAUCCUAAAUCAUUUUUCCAUGAUGAAGGUGAGACCUAACAAGCCACAACUUAAUGAAUUGACAGUGAAGAUUUAUUGUUCAUGAUUCUAACAAAACUUUUUGUUUCACUACACCACUUUUGAUGUUCAAAAUCUCAUUUUUAUUUCUUUUGAGUGAUCUUGAUGAAAUGUACUCAUUCCAAGUCAUUUCUUCCCAAUAGAUCCAGAUCUUUAGUUUUUUUUUAUAUGAAAUGAGAUUUCCAUAUGAACAUUUGUCUAACUCCUUCGUUUCUCCAAAGCUUACUUGUUCUUGGCUAUACUGUACAAACAAGUAUCUUCGUAAAAUUAUUUUCACUUGUUUCAAGUUGCAAAUUUGUGAGAAAAUUAGUCUUUUUAAGCACCCCUUUCCAAACUUCACAGUAACUUUCUCAUAUUGCGUCUUAGGGUGUUUAUCUGGUUGCUUCUUAGAUUGCUUCUCAAGAAUAGAUUUAUUAGUCUUUUUAGGCACCCCUUUCCAGACUUCGUAGGCAUAAUCUGCUUCGAUGCUUCCUCCUUUAUUGCUUUAGGUUUUACAGUGUGCUUCCUUGUCUUCUUACCCUUAGAUACUUUGGAAGAUCCUUAUACACCUUCAAAAACUAGCCAUCUUAAUAAGAAUACCAGUAUGAUUUGGAUCUAUUGAAGCUUUUUAUGCAAUCAACUACUUAUUGAUCUUAGAUACCAAAUUAAGCAUUGAAUCUAGAAUUCAACCAACCACAAGAAAAAACAUAGGAUCAUCAACGGCAGACUUUAGAAUUGUCAUCGAAGCAAAUGUAGCAACAACAUCAUCAUCAGUAGGUACAGAAAUACCUUCUUAAGUAUACACUUUAUUCAAAAUCAAACUCUAAAAUGGAGUACUAGACACUUCUAUAGUCAUCUUCGAAUGAUUAAUGAAACUACCAAACUCAACCCAAAGCAAUGAGGCAUAAUCAAUACUCAGGCCAAAGUACAAUCCAACCAUAAUCGAAUAAAACUUGAGUUUUGCUUGAUCCAAUCCAAAACUUCUUCCUGUUAAACAAAGAAGAGUAAUACCAAAUAAAAGCCUCCAUACCCUAGGAAGACUCGAUUUUGUGAAAUGGAUAAUAACCAAAAGAGUUGGCUGAUUCCCCAUUUCAUUAAACAUAUGAAUAACUUGUUCACUGGUAACUUCAUCGAACUCACCUACAUAUGGUUACUUCAAGAUUUGGGCAAACUGCUUAUUUGUUAAUUGUUUGGUCUUGUUCAAUGUCAACUGAAACGUAAUAAGUCCGAUUGUUCUGUUGCACACAACAGUAGAAACAUCCAAUCAUAACCAUUUCAUACAAACUGCAGAUGAAUCAGUUAAUGCAUGAGUAAGAACGGAAUCAUUCAUCACUUAAACAAGCUUCAACUCGUCUGGAUAAUCCUUGAUCAAUGGGUUGAACCAAAGAUUAUUAUGUUGACUCUUCAUUGUUGGUUGAGAGAUUUCUUCAUUGUUGGUGUUGAAUUGAUCCACAACACUGGUUCCAGUAGCCAUGAUGAACAAUCGAGAGAAAAUUUGAAAUUUGAUUGCAAAGAAAACUCAGGGUUUUUACAUGAAUUCUAGGAACAUAAAAAGGAAACCGAAUGAUCAUGUCGUGCUUAAAUUAGCGACGUCAAAUUCAAAUUCAAACGUUACACCAAUAAAAGAAAGCCACGAGUAAAGUGGGUUAUGUAACCAUCAUCACAUUUCGUUAUAUAGCAAGAACCAUUCGCUGUUAUGGAGGAAAGGCUCAUUCAUUUAUGGGAAUGAUAAGUAAAAUCAUUUGCCAUACUUUGCAAAAUCUAGGUCUGAGUUGGUAAUACCCAUGACCUCGAGGAUUUCACUGCUUGUGUGUGCCAAAAGAAAAGAUAGAAUCAAAUUAAUAAAAUUUUGGACACCGUGAUAUCAAAAAAUCUUUGAUAUAAAAGCAGAUAGAUCCCGGGAAAAGAUACUCUUCAUUCGUCAUAAAGAGAGAUGUCGAAUUGGUUGUGUGGUUUCCCGUGAAUUACAAUAUAAUACUCAUUGAGGAGUAAUGUAGGGACUCUUUUAAGAAGCUUCGUAGGUGGCCUCAUUUUCUCACAAACUUGUAACUUGACAUAAGUGAAAAUAAUUGUAUGAAGAUACUUGUAUGUACAGUGCAGCCAAGAACAAGUAAGCUUUGGAAAAAUUAUAACUAACGAAGGAGUUAGACAAAUGUUCAUACCAAAAUCUCAUUUCAUAUCAAAAAAGCUAAUGAUCUGGAUCUAUUGGGAGGAAAUGAUUUGGAAUGAGUACAUUUCAUCAAGAUCACUCAAAAGAAAUGAAAAUGAGAUUUUGAACAUCGAAAGUUGUACAGUGAAACAAAAAAUUUUGUUAGAAUCUUGAAUAAUAAAUCUUCACUGUCAAUUCAUUAAAUUGUGGUUUGUUGGGUCUUAAAUUCAUCAUGGAAAAAUGAUUUAGUAUCAAAGACACAUAAGUGUAGCAUACCUAUAUCCUGGUUGUUUUUUACCAGAGAUGUCUUGGACAUGUGUCAUCGUGUGUGAUGUAUUAGAAAUUUUGGCUGAAAAGGAUUGGAUGCGAAAAAUCAUUGUACAUCUGCAAAUAAAUAUACCGUACAAAAAUCUCUUUACUCAAAAUGAGAAGAGAAAGGUAGCUCUUCGGCCAUUUGUGAAUACAUCGUAAUUGGGAAGAAUUUUUGUAUGAAAAAAUUCAUUAACGCUUCUUACACAAUGAAUCUAUGAGGCUUGUGGACAACUUGUUGCAACAUCUUUCUAGAGACUCUUAAUUAGUACAAGAAUUUUGUAUCAUACCAAUUCCCUAUUGAGUGUCUCUUUAGACAUGCGAAAGUGGAACACAUUGUUACAAUGAAUUUCUCCAAUCUCAAAAGAAAAUAAGGAAAAUAUUUUUGUAUUUUUGAUUUUUGAAAAUUACAAUUCAAAUAUAACAAUUUUUUUUUGGAUUGUUGAAUUUUAUAAAGAAAAGACAGAAAUAAGAAAAUCUUUUUGGAUUUCUUAAUUUUAUAAAGAAAAGACAAAAACAAAAAAAAUCCUUUUGAAUUUUUGAAUUUUAUAAAGAAAAGACAAAACUAAGAAUAUUUUUUUUUGGAUUUUUGAAUUUUAUAAAGAAAAGACAAAAAUAAGAAAAGGAUAUCACCAACAUUGGUUAUUCGUUAAUGAUAACAAAUAUUCCGCAUGCGAACCAAUGCUUCCCAUUAUAUAUGCAUCCCUCAAACAAAUAUAUUUCCCAUAAACGAGUGCUUCCCAUAAACAUGCACUUCCCAUUUAGAGACAAUUCCCAUUCGCUAGAUGUCAACAUGUGUUGAACGAAUCAGAGAUAAUGUCGAAAGAGAAGUGAGCCAAAUGCUGAAUGAGAACAGUAACAUCUGAACAAAAUUUUGACAAUUAAUGAAAGUUAGUCCAGAAAUUUCACGCAUCAAACUUAAGAGAAAAUUAGUUAGAAUUAGGAACAUAAGAACCUGCCAUCAUUCCUAAACCAUUUAAAAUUCUCAAAAAUGAUUUUUCAUCCAUUGGUUUUGUAAAAAUAUCUACAAGUUGGGCAGUUGGUUUAACGAAAUGAACUUCAAUAUUCCCAUCUUCAACAUGAUCUAUAAUGAAGUGGUAUGAAAGUGUAAUAUGCUUAGUUUAGGAAUGUUGAAAUGAAUUAUGGCAUAUGAGAAUUGCGCUUUGAGAAUCACAAUCUAAUCGAAUUUUCUUCAUGUUUAUCGCAUAGUCACGUAGUUAAAUUUGAAUCCAGAUCACUUGAGAAGUUUGAGCCAUAGUAGAAUGUAUCCAGCCUCAGCUAUCGAAAUUGAUACAUACAUCUUCUGUUUUGACUACCAACUCACAAGCUUCCCAUCGAAGAAUUGGCAUUUGCAUGCAGUGCUUUUUCGAUCUAACUGACAACUUCUUAGACCAACAUCUUAGAAAGCUUGAAUAAAUUAUCCUGUAUUCGAUGGAUACCACUAUCCAAGAGUUGAAGUGCCAUGCAGAUAACAAAAAAUAUUUUUCACCGCUGUAAGGUUGGGUUCUCUAGGAUUCGCUUGGUCCCCGACACAAUUGCACACAUAAAACAUUAUAUUAGACCGAUUUUCCGUUAAGUACAAUAUCGAAGCGAUGAUGCUUCUAUAUGUCUUGAGAUCAACAGAUGGCUUAUCCAACAAAGGACCUAAUGUAAGAUCCAUAAAAAUUCAUAAAAUUUAAACUUUUCAAAACAACCCUUUUUCUAAAGAAGUGUUUACAAAAACCAUUGUUUCCAAAACAUUAUUUAAAAUCAGAAUUGUUUUCAACAUAGUUUUCAAAACAUUCACAUUAUCAGAGUUUCACAGAAAUCAUAAGUCCAAGUAUGCGAGGAUGUGUACGGUCACGCCUUCACGUAACAUGAUCCACUGAAGUACUUGAAACCGUUAAACAAAACUGUAACCACGAAGCUUAGUGAGUUUCCCCCAGAAUACCAACACACAACAUAUAACAUAUACCACAAACAACAUGCAUACAGAGCCUUCAACAUGUCUGGAUUGCCUCACCGGGCCUUCAGCCUGUCCGGACAGUUCUCCAGGCCUUCGGCCUGACUAGUCCGCCUCACGGGCCUUCAGUCUAUCCGAACUGCCCUGAUUAUGUUGGCCUUUAACACAAAGCAGGACCGCCUCAACCCAACCACACACACAUACCACGUCGAUAUAUACAUAACAUAUAAGCGUACAUAUAAUAUAACGAUAUAAACAUUACCGGGUUUGUUGACUCGCAUCAUAAACCAGUACAAUCUCAUCCCAACCACACUACCUUAAAACAUGCGACCGGUAAACAUAUAGCCAAAAUAGAUAACAGGCAAAUCUAACAUAUCACUAAGUAGAACAUCAUCUUAUCUACCAGGAUACAGAUCUAACAGAUCACUACAACAUCGCAAGCAUACGAUACACCAAUAUAACAAUCCAAAGGGCCGACAUUGGUACCUUCGACCCGAGAGUAUAUUGAUGACAACUCACCUAACACUGCCGAAUCACACAGACGAUUCCUGGCUGCUAUUACCAAGCCAACACCCCAUCAAUACUUGAUCCCAUGAGAAACUCUAACCGCAGAUCCGCUAGAUCCCACACGCUAUCAAACACCACAAAUGACAAUCCAUUAAUAACUAGAUCGUGACUCACACUAUCAGUCCAAUUUAGGGUAAAAGACCUUUUUACCCUUCCAUAAACUUGGCCCAAGACUAAGGCCCAAACUAAAUGACCAAAAGCCCAACAAUCCAAAUAAUCUUCUACAACCCAAAUAUGGCCCAAUUUUCUAAAUUGGGCCCAAUCCCUUUCAUGGCCUUCACUCAAGAAAAUACAGCAAGAAAAAAACCCCAAACCAUAAAAUCUAGAUGGCCCAACAUGGUCCACUACAAUCCAAGUCCAAAAUCGAAGCCCAAAAUGACCGAGUACGCGGGGGUACUCCUAAGGUACGCUCAACAUACAUAAGGCUGUGCAGAAUCCACCAUUGGGGUGGCUCAUUGGGUAUGCUCGACAUACCCUCCCAAUUCCAUUUCCUUUCUUAAGUGCUUAAUGGCUUUAGAACUUGAGCUUAUACUUCAGAUCCAAGGUCCAAAUGCACUCUAGAGUCAUAAAAGUCUCCAACUUUAUGACUUACAUGUCAAAGAGUUCUUAAUACAACGUCUUAACCCAUUAAGACCCAUUUUUCCAAAUUCAUGAGACACUCUUGGCCAUUGGGACCUCAUUUUUAUGACUAAGGACCCUUCUUAGGGUCUAGAAGGACAACUCAAAACAUCCAAAAUCGAACAUGCACAACAAAGGGACUUUUGGGACAAAAAGAGCACCAUAAAGCUACCAAGCUAAGAUCCAAACUAAUCAAGCAUAAAGGUGGCAACUUUUUACCUUCUAAAGCUUCUUAAUGAAGUGAUGAUCCAAUAUCUACUAGCUUGCUUCAAUCUCUAAUCACCUUGAUGCAAAUCCUUUUUCUUCAAACACACAAGGAACACACUCUUAGCUCAAAACACACACUUAUGGAGUUAGGAUUUGCCGAAAACGACUCAAGAACUUUGAGGCUGGAAUGAUGGGAGUAAAUUGUCCAUAAAGAUGCUUAAAUACUCCACAAACCCUUAAAAUUAGGGUUUUCACCCAGACACAUGUACACCCAGCGUACAUAUGUUUAUGCCGAACGUACUAGGGCAUGCCCUAGUACGCUUAGUGUACACACAUGUACGCCUAGCGUACAACGCAUGCUCCCAAAAUUACCGUUUUGCCACUAGGGAUUCCCAUGGCCACUUCUUUCCAAUCCAUGGACAAAAAAAUGACAUAAUUAAAACCCAAGGGAUGAAUUCGAAACUACCCGAAAACUGGGGUGUUACAACUCUCCCCCACUUAAAUUCGAUUUCGUCCUCGAAAUCAUUCCUUACCAUCCCCGACAAGUCCGACAUUCUGAGGGGAACACCCAUAACCAUGGACAUACAACGACCUUCAUAAGGUGACUAAACCUAAAAGAAAUCUUUUCAACCCGAAGAGGAUGAAUCCAUAAUCCCAUGUAGCAUACCAACCCUACUUUAUCUGAAACCUCAAGAAUCAAACUGGGUCUGAUUCCCUGACAAACCACCAUUCCUGAACUAAUGCUAAAUCCAUAGCGUUUAUCCAUCAAACUACCUAUUCAACUCUUGAUGAUAACAAAUCCAUGAAAACAAUGAGAUAGAAGAUAUGGAUUUCCUUAACUGUUAGAACGAUACGCAACUACUAAAAUUAUGAAAACCCCAUGACCUGCCCGACCUUCUUACCGAUACAACCAUCCUAGAGCACAAACACAUGAACUAAGCCCUGACCAUAAACAACUGCAGAGCACCUAUACUUGACAGACGUCUCAGAUAAUCCUUCGAGUAGAAGAUUCAUCCCUAUGACGGUUAGACUCAAAUGAGAGCUGCGCAACAGGGUCAAAUCAAUUACUCUGAGAUUAUUUAAUGAAAAUUGCAAGUGACUUAGCACUUUCGAUCAACAAGAUACUCCACACACACGAAUCCCUAAAUCACUACUACUGCCCGAACCGUCACGCUGCCUCCUAUCUGCUUCCCAAAGGUAACCAAGACCUCCCUGGUCCCAACUUAACUGCUAACUAUCUGAAGUACUGGAUUCCUGCCCGGUUGUUAAGCCCAAGAAUACCCACACAAUCGCCCCACACUACUUUCGAAAGAAAUCCACGACCAUAAAUAAUUAUCCGAACCAUCUCGACACCAAACCCGAUGCUAAGCCGAAUGCUACAGGACCAACUAUAGUCUUACCUCAUACCCGGUCUCCCACAACCUACAAUUUCCUGAUUCUAAACAUGCGGUGACCCUCCUACAUCCUUACAACACUCCCACACUAACUGACCACUAGUGAAUGCUAUGGGCCACACCACAGUCUUACAUCACUUCCACCUUGCCACAACCACCGCCCAAUUCCUUAUCGUUAAUUUAUCCAUGCGAACACAUCCAAAGUCGAGCAUGCGCUUGACCAAACACCCAAGCCAAAUUUGGGUCAUGACUGGAACCCCAACCUGGGUCCCCCAAAGCCUGCUAUCUGAAACCUAGAAGGCAUGAACCAAAUAUUGGGAAGUUUCCUAAACUCCCAUACCACACCAUCCUCAAUCCAAACGGUUACUUGGGUCGCCUUCCUCCCCGAUGAGCAUGUGUAACUCAUCCUAGUUUCACACCUUCUUCUGUUCCUGAAUACCUGAAUGAUUUUCCCCCAUGUUGAUUCGACUAAGCUCUUAAGAUUGGAAGGAUUCCCAAUCCUUCUUACCCUCCAACGAUCGAAAUGCUAACAACCUGUUCUUAGCAAUGCUAGUGAUCCAUUACUAGCCAAACCGAAAAGAUCACACAAACCCUGAAGACCAGAUGAACGCUUUCCGAAUCCCUGAAAAACUGAUAACCCUAAAUGCUUUAAAAUGAUAUCACCCUCAAAUCUUGAAGUUCAAAGAACAGAUGCUUUAACCAAAUCCUCAGCAAUAGAUGAACUCAAUGACCAAAGAGGUAACGACACCCCGAAGCCAAAGGAACAUAAACACACUGGAUUGGAUGGUAGUUGGCACGUUAACACUAAAACCAGAGAACCACAAACCCACCUGGAACUAACCAUACACGAUUUUGGAAAUGGGUCACUGGUCAUCAUCUUCCUAAACUAAUAUGAAAACAAAAAUCCAAACAGCGAACUGACGAAUUCCUCAAAGACUGCUACUCAACCCAAGAAUCCUAGUUCUCCCCCACUUAGAACCCGAACCACCGCCCACUGGUGGUGAAACCGAAACAUAACCCAACCGGCUCAACCAGGUACAACCAUAGCUAAUCAUGGAAUGAAUACCAUAUGCAUAAUGGUCCUCCAAAUAUUGAUCAAAGAAUCCUAAGAGAACCUGAAUUUCAACUAAAGACCUCUUAAUUUCCAAUUAUAACCACUUACAAAGCAUAGGAAACUACCGAUUAGUGAUCCAAACAUACACCCCUUACUUGCAAUCCCAAUCGACAAUCCGACAACUGGCUUUCCCAUCUCCCAAGAAUACGGGCCCUUGCUAGCAUCGCUAAGGUACUCAUGCCACAUCAAUCCACCUGCGCACACCAACGCUGACAUACUGUCGCCAACCACUGCGACCAACAUAUCCCAAGAUGAGAAUACAUCUAACUAUUGAGGUCAUAAUCCUGCUCACUCCUUCGAUCUCGAAAAACUGCAGGACAAGAUCCUUGCUACAGAUAGCGACAAUCACAACCGACAAUCCGCCACUUAAAUCCCAUAUGUGAUUCCCAAGCCGAUCAUAUCAACCACUUCCUCCCUGUGUCUCGAGUCCAGAUGCAUGACCUAUAGCAAAACCAUUGAGACCUCGAACCAACAUACUUAUUUGGGUUUGAACCAAUCAACCCACAUUGACACUGCCAUUGGGUCCUAAACACACAAAACCCAUCCUUGUGGCUGAGCAAUCUAAGCCAAAAGAUCGACAGCUACAGAAGCACCAUCACGGAUCAUGGUAUCCAACCAUGCUAUCUUCCCCGACCAGUCCUUAGAAUCCCCGAAACCUUCCUUGAUUCGAGUAUAGAUCCUGUGCUUCCAGUAGUAUGGGCCCAAUACUACCUUCCACACCUAUCCAUACUCUCCUCAAGAAUCAUCUCGGGUCCUCCAAGACCUAGUCACGAAAUACCCCUGAACCCUGCUCAACAACGAAAAAACUGCAUGAAAAAUACUCCUUAGGCUAUCAUAGGGUUCCACACUUCUUUGCCAUUAGUUGCUGAAGAACUUCUCACAAUGUCAAUUAGCAAUUCCAUGAAUACAAUCACAUGCAACAAGUCUUAGAUAAUCCUUUCAGUAACAGACUCAUCUCUACCACGGUUGGACUCAAACGAGAGUUGCGCAAUAGAGUCAAAUCCGUCACUCUGACAUUGUCCAACCUUUUUCACAUGUGACUUGACAUAUUCACGUAAUGUCUAACUCACAUCACUCAUGAGUUCCACAAAGCACAAAGCAAGCAGCAUUCCUGCAGAGGAGCCGAUUGGCACUAAAACACAAUAAAAUCAUAUAGAUCCUCCAACUAAAUCCUCGAUCUCAAACUCUCCAUGGGUGCACCUUUGCCCUGCUCUCACUCUCUCAAGAGUGGUUGAUCAUUCCUCACACUGACCUGCUAGGAACCGAACCCAUUCUAAGGAAACCACUUCCUCCUCGUCCAAUAACACAACUGGUCGGCUGACCCCACACGACUCACCAUACCACUAAUUGCCACACGACUCUCCAUUGGUGUCAGAUGACUAUCGCAUGAAUACAAUCACAUGCCUCAGAGUUUAAACAAUCUUAGGCUAAAAGAUUCAAUCCUACAAUGUUUGGACUCAGACAAGAGCUGUGCAACAGGACCAAACCCAUCAACCUAAGAUCCUUUAAACCAUGUAGCAUGUGACUUAAUGUAUCUACUCAAUAGCCAGUUCACACGUGAAAGAUUCACACAACAGGAAAACAACGGAACUCUAUAGGAAAUAAGGCAUCAUAUAAUCGGGAAAUUCUAUCAUGCAAUUCCUGAAGAUCCCUAGGCUAUUACUAGCAUGCUAUUCUAACAUACCAUAACAUAAUCUCGAAUAAUUGUGUGGUAAUUUGAGGUCAACUUACUGGCUGCAGCUAAUCGUACACAUCGCAUCCUCCUUAAUUUUUUUGAAAACCAAUUGAAAAUUGUUUUAAAAACCUUUUCCUUAGUUUGAGACUGGAUUCACACGAGUGUUCCUCUAAUUCACUCAAACCAAGGCUUUGAUACCAACUUGUAACAUCCAUAAAAAUUCAUAAAUUUGAACUUUUCAAAACAACCCUUUUUCUAAAGAAGUGUUUACCAAAACCAUUAUUUCCGAAACAAUAUUUAAAAUUAGAAUCAUUUUCAACAUAGUUUUCAAAACAUUCACAUUAUCAGAGUUUCUCGGAAAUCAUAAGUCCAAAAAUGCGAGGACAUGUACGGUCACGCCUUCACCUAACACGAUCCAUUGAAGUACCUAAAACCAUAAACCAAAACUGUAACCAUGAAGCUUAGUGAGUUUUCCCCAGAAUACCAACACACAAAAUAUAACAUACACCACAAACAACAUGCAUAAAGAGCCUUCAACAUGUCUGUACCGCCUCACCAUGCCUUCAUGCAAUCUGGACCGCUCACAGAACCUUCAACAUGUCUGGACCGCCUCACCGGGCCUUCAGCUUGUCUGGACCAAUCUUCGGGCCUUCGGUCUGAAUGGUCCGCCUCACAGACCUUCAGUCUAUCAGGGCUGUCCUAGGUCAGUUGGCCUUGAACACAAAGUAGGACCACCUCAACCCAACCAUACACACAAACCAUGUCGACAUAUACAUAACAAAUAAGCAUACAUAUAAUAUAGCAAUAUAAAUAUUACCGAGUUUGUUGACUGGCAGCACAAAGCAGUACAGUCUCAACCCAACCACACUACCUCAAAACCUGCGAUCGGUAAACAUAUAGCCAGAACAGAUAAUAGGAUGAUCUAACAUAUCACUAAGUACAACGUCAUCCUAUCUACCAGGAUACAGAUCUAAUAGAUCACUACAACACUACAAGCAUACAAUAAACCAGGAUAACAAUCCAAAGGGCCAACAUUGGUGCCUUUGACCCGAAAGUAUAUUAAGGACAACUCACCUCACACUGCGGAAUCACACAGACGAUCCCUGGUUAUUAUUACCAAGCCAACACCCCAUUACAGCUGAUCCCAUGAGAAAUCUCUAACUGCAGACCCGCUAGAGCCCGCAUGCUAUCCAACACCACAAAUGGAAAUCCGUUAUGAACUAUAUCUUGACUCACACCAUGAGUCCAAUUUAGGGUAAAAGACCUUUUUACCCUUCCUUAAACGUGGCCCAAGACUAAGGCCCAAACAAAAUGACCAAAAGCCCAAAAAUCCAAAUAAGCUUCUAAGGCCAAAAUAUUGCCCAAUUUUCCAAAUUGGGCCCAAUCCCUUUCAUGGACUUCACUCAAGAAAAUACAGUUAGACAAAAAGCCCAAACCAUAAAAUCUAGAUGACCGAACAUGGCCCGCGACAAUCCAAGUCCAAAACCCAAGCCCAAAACAAAGAAGCCCAACAUGACCGAGUAUGUGGGGUGUACUCCUAAGGUACGCUCAGCGUACGGGAGGCUGCGUAAAAUCUACCAUCGGGGUGGCUCAUUGGGUAUGUGGAGCAUACCCUCGGAGUUCCAUUUACUUUCUUAAGUGCUUAAAGGCUUUAGAACUUGAGCUUAUACUUCAGAUCCAAGGUCCAAAUGCACCAUAGAGUCAUAAAGUCUCCAUCUUUAUGACUUACAUGUCCAAGAGUUCUUAAUACAAGGUGUUAACCCAUUAAGAACCUUUUUUCCAAAUGCAUGAGAUAGUAUUGGCCAUUGAGAUCUCAUUUUUAUGACUAAGGACCCUUCUUAGGGUCUAGAAGGACAGUUCAAAAGAUCCAAAACCGAACAUGCACAAGAAGUGGACUUUUGGGAGAAAACGAGCACCAUAAAGCUACCUAGAUGAGAUCCAAACUAAUAAAGCAUAAAGGUGGAAACUUUUUUUUUACCAUCUGGAGCUUCUUAAUGAAGUGAUGAUCCAAGAUCUACUAGCUUGCUUCAAUCUCUAAUCACCUUGAUGCAAGUCCUUCUUCUUCUUCAAACACAUAAUGAACACCCUCUUAGUUCAAAACACACACUUAUAGGGGUAGGGUUUGCCAAAACGACUCAAGAACUUGGAGGCUAGAAUGAUGUGAGUAAAUGGUCCAUAUAGCUGCAUAAAUACUCCACAAAACCUAAAAAUUAGAGUUUUCACUCGGACACAUGUACGCCCAGUGUACAUAUAUGUACGCCGAGCGUACUAGGGCGCGCCAUAAUACGUUUAGCGUACACACAUGUACACCCAACGUACAACUCAUGCUCCCAAAAUUACCUUUUUGCCACUAGGGCUUCGCAUGGCCACUUCCAUCCAAUCCAAGGAUCAAAAAUGACAUAAUUAAAACCCAAGGUAUGAGUUUGAAAUUACCCAAAAACUGGGGUGUUACAACUACGGUGGGUUGCACUUGAUCUCAUAUCGGCUUGGAAGGAGAACGAAACAUUUCCUUAUAAGGGGUGUGAAUACCUUCCUUGUCACAACACGUUUUAAAGCCGUGAGGGCAGCAGAUCUCAUAAGAACUCUGCAGUUAAGCAUGAUCGGGCGAGAGUAGUACCGGGAUGGGUGAGCCACUGGGAAUUCCUUGUGUCGAGUGGCCCUAAGCGGACAAUAUUGUGAUAUGUGCCGGAGAGGGAUGUUACAAGUUGUAUCAGAGCUGGGACAUGGGUCUAUGUUUUCGACGGGGACAUCGAAUCAUAUAAUGGGAGGUGAAGGUGGGUUGCACCUGAUCCCACAUCGUCUUGGAAGGAUAAUGAAACAUUUCCUUAUAAGGGGUGUGGAUACCUUCCUUGUCACAACGUGUUUUAAAGCCAUGAGGGCAGCAAAUCCCAUAAGAACUUUGCAGUUAAGCAUGCUCGGGUGAGAGUAGUACCGGGAUGGGUGACCCCCUAGGAAUUCCUCGUGUCAAGUGGAACAAAGUGGACAAUAUUGUGAUACGUUCAGGAGGGGAUGUUACACCUAUGCGAGUAUCGAAUGCCAUGGGAACCACAGGUUUCGAGCAAUUUGUCAUUCCAAAUCUUUCAUGCAGGUUUCGUGUGUAGUUCUAUUAACUAAUGAAGAUUCCACCCUUGCUUUGAUGAAUGUGAAAACCUAAGAAAUUAUUGAUUUUCCCCAUCAUGCUCGUUUCAAAUUGACUCUUCAUAAGCUCCUUAAACUCCUUUGCCAACGAAGGGUUAGUAAAACCAAAUAGUAUGUCAUCAACAUAAAUUUGAACAAGCAUCACGUGGACUUUCUUUCAAAAUAGAGUGGGAUCAACUGGCCAUUGAUUAAAUUUAACAAUUUUCAAAAAAUUGGUUAGCUUCGCAUAACAAGCAUGCGGUGCUUGUUUUAACCCGUAAAUGGCCUUCUUAGGAAUAUAAUAGUGAUCAUGAUACUUAUUAUUUACGAAUCCAGGUGUUUGUUAGGCAUAUACUAUCUCUUCAAGAAAACCAUUAAGAAAUGUGUACUUAACAUCCAUAUAAUAGACUUCGAAAUUCUUAUGAGCUAUAUAGGCAAGAAAAGUUCGUACAACCUCGAGUCUUACAACAGGUGCCAUGGUUUCUUCAUAAUCAAUACCCUAUUGUUGAGAAUAACCUUUUACGACUAAUCUAGCUUUGUUAUAAACUAUAUUUCCUUAUUUUUUCCAUUUCAUUUUUAAAAACCCGUUUAAGUCAAACAACAACAGCAUCAUCAGAUUUAGAAAUUAAUCUCCAAACUUUGUUCCUUUCAAAUUCAGCCAACUCAGACUGCAUCGCAACAACACAAUCAGAAUGUUCUAAUGCAUUGUUGACUGUUUGCGGUUCAAUUUUUGAAAUAAAGACAUUUGACAUACAAUAUUCUUGAUGAACAUUUGUUUCAUACCUCGCUAAAGCGGAAAGACGAGACGCGACAAUACAAAGGGUCUCACAGGAAAAGUUAAAAGACAAUACCAACCAUAGUAUUAAAUGCAUUACAGUUUACAAUGAGUUUGAAUUUUUUUUAAAAAAAUUACAAUGUAUUUGAAAAAAACAACCCAUGUGAAUGCUCCUACAAGUGAUGUGUCCCUAAGUGCCAUCUUAUAGACGAGCUCCUAAAAAAACAUAUAAAAUGAGCGGUAAACUACCGAAAUAGUUGAUAAGUUCACAAGUUUACUAGAUAAAAGAUUUAUAAGUCAAGAACUUCAAUUUUUGGAAAUAAGUGACAUAAUUAAAAGUUUGUUUCUAAGAUGAGUAAAUAAUUUCCACUGUUAUCAUGAGAAAUAAACUUCAUUACUAUCAUAAGAAAUAAAGUUCGAUGCUAACAUAAGAAACAAAGUUCAUUGUUAUCAUGAGAAAUAAAAUUUGUUAUUAUCAUGAGAAAUAAAGUUUGAUGCUAACAUAAGAAACAAAGUUCAUUCUUAUCAUGAGAAACAAAGUUCGUUAUUAUCAUGAAAAAUAAAGUUCGAUGCUAACAUAAGAAACAAAUUUCAUUGUUAUCAUGAGAAAUAGAUUAGGGACAAUUUUCUCGCUUCCGGGUUGGCUACUAAAUCUGGAAAAUAUAUAUUCUGAAAUGGAAAGAGGUAGCACGAAUGAUGCUUUUUGGUACCAAAAAUGUUAGAUCUUAAGCAUGGCAUGUUCUUGACCGUUAAGUUGUCCUUUCAGACCCUAGGAUGGGUCUUAAAUCAUACAAAUGGAGUUCCAAUGGUUGGUUUUGUCCCAUGCAUGUUAUGAAGAGUCUUAACGCAUUAAGACGUUGGGUUUUUUAAGAAUUAAUCACUUAUUGAGCAUGCAAGGUCAGAAAGUUGGAAACUUUAUGACUCCUAAUGACAUUUUGACAUUUGAUCUACAUUUGGAUGUGUUAAGACGUUGUACUAAGAACUUAAUGGAGAAAAAGGAAAGUUUGGGGUUACGCCUAACGUACACGGUCAACAGCCCCGUUUUUGGUCAGCGGAGGAAUACGCCCAACAUACCUCCAGAGUAUGCCCUGCAUACGCUUGCUGAGUUGACUCGAUUGGGCAGACUUAGUUGAUUUAUGGAGUUUGACCUCGUCUUUGACCCAUUUUGACAUUCAGGGUAAUUUGGUUAUUUUGGGAUUUAACGGAGAUUGGUCAUUUGGUUGGAAUAGGUGUCAGUUAGAGAGCUGAAAUCCGGAGUCGGGGCCUCAUCAACUUUUUUCCGAUUGUGAGGUGGGUUUUCCUCACUGUACUUGCGGGACGAAGGAACCAAGGCCAGGCCUUUGAAUUUGAUAUCCAAUUAUGUGAUAGUAUGGUAUCGUGUCGUAGUGAUCUGUUAGAUCGAUAUCCUGGUAUGUAGGAUGAUGCUAUGCUUAGUGAUCUGUAGAUCUGCCUGACUGUUUGUAGACUUUGUAUAUUAUUAUCUAUUAUAUGUGCACAUAUUUGGUUGGUGGUUGAGGCUUCACUGCUUUGUGCGUAAGCUAACAGGUCGGGGGCAUAACAACCCGAUGAUUGAUUGGGCUCGAGGAUAUUCCAUCCCGACGAUGACAUGACCCGUUAUAGAUUGACAUUCCAACCCGAUGGUUGAUUGGGCCUGGGGUAUUCCAACUCGAUGGUUGACUGGACCCGUAGUAUAUUGGAAUUCCAACCCGAUGGUUGACUAGGCCUGGGGAUAUUCCAACCUGAUGUUUGAUUGGACCCGAUAUUCUAUUAUUGUAUAUGUUAUAUGUUUAUGUAUUGGUACUUUAGGGGAUCUCAUUAAGUGCUGGCUUACAGUCUUGGGUUAUGUUUCAGGUACUUCGGAUGACCGCGGGAAGGCGAAGGCGUGACUGUACACAUCCUCUUUUUUAUGACUUAUGAUUUUGGGAGACUUUGAUGUUCGAAAUGUUUUGAAAACUAUUUUUGUAAACAUUAUGUGAAUUUGGGUUGGUUUUAAAAAGUUUAAAUUUGUUGUGAUUUUUUAUGGGUGUUACAUGUUGGUAUCAAAGCCUUUGUUUGAGUGAAUUGGAGGAACUCUCAUGUGAAUCUAGUCUCAAACUAAGGAAAAAGAUUUUUAAAAUGAUUCUUGAAAUUGUUUUCAAAAUAAUCAAAGAGGAUGCUAUGUGUACGAUCAGCCGGAGCCAGUAAAUAGACCCCGAAUUACCACACUGUUAUUUGAUUUUAUGAUAUGUUAUAAUAGCAUGCUAGUGAUAGGCUAGGGAUAUUCAGGAAUUGCACGAUAGAAUUGUCUGAUUAUAUGAUGCCUGGUAGCCUAGGGUUUUGCCUUAUAUGAAAUUGACAUGAUUAUUGUAGUUGCUUUGUGUAUACAUUAUAGUUGUACAUAAGUAAGAUUCUGUAGCCUGAGAAUUUUUUGUUUGGCCUUAUUUCUUGUUCUUUUUUUUAUGAAGGGCUUAGGGUAGAAUCAGGUAUUGGACUGUCUAUAGGGUCCCGUGUUAUGUAUGAUUAGUAUACACAAGUGGUGUAGGGUUGGUGAGAGUUUCAUGGAACAGUUGUGUGGGGUCAUUCGGCCAAUUUCGUAAUGUUUAGCCUUCCUCUAGGAAGUGAGGAUUGAGUGAAUGCUUUUGCUAGUGUGUAUUGUUAGGUUUGUUGUGAAGAUCCUCUGAGACAAAUACGGGUAGGUGCGGAAGGUAGUAUGGGCCAUACUACUGGAAGCACAGGACCACUACUGUAACACCGUAAAAUUCAAAAUAAUUUUUCAUUUAAAAAUAAUCGUUUAUUCUUAAAAACACUUUUCUUAAAAUUCUAGUCACAAUCGAAUUACAAAAAAAUAACUCCAUUUUCACUUGCUUAAUAAACCAGGAUCCUCAAAACAUGACUCUUUCUCUGGUGUACAAUCGAGCCGGUGCCGUCCCAUGAUCUUGAGAGAAACCUGAAACACAUAACACAAAACACUUUAAGCACAAAGCUUAGUGAGUCCCCCAAAAUACCGCACAUAACACAUAUUAGCCACUCGAGGCUAUAACUCUGUGGGUCCGUGGACCCUACUCUAUGAACCCUCUGGUUCUAACUCUGUGAAUCUUCCGGUUCUAACUCUGGGAACCUUUCCGGUUCUAACUCUGUAAACAUGCACAGCAUAGAUCACAUAGAAACAAUGCAGUACAACACAUAACAUACAUAGCAUACCAAUACUAUGUCACAUAACUCUGGUUACCUACUCAAGGUAAAGUAUAGUGAGAAGACUCACCUGGCAAGCAGAAAGCAGAUAUCCCCACACUUGAAUCUCGAACUCGCCACCGCCUAACACAUAAGGCAAAUACUCUCAUCAAUAUAACUCUCGAGACUAGAAUCAACCCUCUCUUGGCACCCUCUUAAGGAUAAAAGACCGUUUUACCCCUCUCUUGGCCCAAAGGCCACAUCGCUGACCAAAUCCUAAAAGUCAACAAAAGUCAACGGUCAACUUUGACCGGACUCGGCGAGUGCACUAGGGCGACUCGGCGAGUCUACACGUGUCCACUGACUCCCUUGGAUCCUCUCUUGACACGUCGAGUAUUUCUCUGACUCGACGAGUUUCACCUGGCAUAAAUCGCGGGGCCACCACGACUCAACUCGGCGAGUUCCAGCUUGACACAGUCCCACCCUGACUCUCCCUGACUCACUGAGUCGACCCCUCAACUCGACAAGACCACUCGCUGAGUGGUUAUGGGCAAAAUUCAUGCUACUCGCCGAGUAUGUUCUUCAGACUCGGCGAAUCCAUGCCAUGCAUAACUCAAACUCACUUCUGAGGUCAGAUCUGUUCCAUACAAUCAUAGAUCUGGCCUCCCCAGGCAUGAUAAUCACGUAAAGUCCAAACCUUGGUGCCCAACGAACAACUAUUUGCUCCUAGAUGAUGUUUUAGCCCCAUAUCUCAUAACUCUAGGUCAAAACUCCCAUGAAUCCUCAUAAAGCUUAAGGAAUAAAGCUUCUCUGGACCUCUAUGGAUCUCAUCCCAAGCCUCAUCACAAAUAGGGACGAAAUGGACAUCAAAUCUAACCAACAAAGGGGUCAAGAAACCCUAACCCCCAUGUUUAUCAUGACAACAGAAAAGGAAGCCAAAAUAUACCUCCAAGAUGAUGCUCUGAGCUCCAAAAUCGAAGGAUGUCCACCUCCCUUGCCUCCUCUUAGCUAGAAUCUCCUUUGCCUUGCCAAACAAAGCUUCAAAGGUCAACAAUGGCCUCUUCUCUCUCCCAAAACGCUCAAAAUCUCUUUAGGGUUUCUCUCUGGGGUUGGUGGCCGCAAAUGACGGCCAUAAGCCCCUUUAAAUAGGUCUCAAACCCUGGAAAUUAGGGUUUCAUUAAACAGCGUGGACUCGCCGAGUCCAGACGCGAACCCGCGCACAAAACCAUGAUCCUACUCGGCGAGUUUGGACUCCAACUCGCCGAGUCUCCUCACACUCACCCAAAAAUAAAAGAAUAAAAUAAUACUUGGGAAUCCGGGGUGUUACAAUCCUCCCCCACUAGAAUUAGACUUCGCCCUCGAAGUCUCGCUCUGUAAAUAACUCUGGAUGCUGCUCACGCAUCUCACGCUCCGGCUCCCAAGUUAACUCUGACCCUUUCCGAUGCUGCCACUGGAUCUGCACCAGUGGCACCUCUUUAUUCCUCAGAACCUUAGUCCUUCGAUCUCUGACCGCCGCUGGUCUCUCAGCAUAAUUUAGGCUCGCAUCCACCUGAAUAUCCUCUAGUGGCACUAUUGCUGACUCGUCGGCUAUGCACUUUCGCAACUGCGACACGAGGAAAGUGUCGUGAAUCUGACCCAACUCUGCUGGCAACUCCAAACGAUAGGCUACGCUGCCUACCCUCGCGACCACCCUGAAUUGACCAAUAUAUCGGGGUCCCAACUUGCCCCUCUUCCUGAAUCGAAUCACUCCUUUCCAAGGAGAUACCUUCAGGAGCACAAGGUCGCUGAUCUGGAACUCGAGCUCGGACCGGCGCGUGUCCGCAUAACUCUUCUAACGACUCUGAGCGGUCAAUAACCUCCGCCUGACCUGUUGAAUCUGCGCAGUCAUCUGCAACCCAAUCUCCGUACUACUCAUAACACGUUACCCGACCUCUCCCCAGCAAAUGGGGGUCCGACACCUCCUCCCAUACAACAACUCAAAGGGUGGCAUACCAAUGCUCGAAUAAUGGCUGUCGAUAUGGGAAAACUCAACCAAGGGUAAAUACGUGCCGCAACUCCCUCCGAAAUCUAAUACACAUGCCCGAAGCAUGUCUUCGAGCGUCUGAAUCUUUCGCUCGCUCUAAAGUGUCCUCAGACAUCACCAUGAUAAGCUCUAGCUCAUUUCUCAUAUCCCUCUUCGAGACUGAGCACCAGGUCAGCUUUUGACUCCACAGCUGAGCCUCCAAAGGUCACCCAUAUCAUGAUCCAAAUAUCCACUAACUUCCUCCCCGUGACCACUAUCCCGACCCAGUGACACACAAGUCACGAAAUUCUCUUUUUCUUAUGCGAGAAAAAUACAAUCCAACCGAGGAUCGUCUCAACUCUGAUCUCUGGUGUCUGCUGCGCAUAUCCCUUGCGCAUCUCGCCGCAUCUCCCGACAGAGACGGAGACCCAGUCUCGCCCCCGGUUCAACACCCAGGCUCCAAAAAACUCAAUACUAGGGCUACUCAAGCCCAAAACUCUUCCACAUCAUACACUGAUCGGAGAACACUCCAUCAUCACAUUCUCUUGCCAUCUAGUGAGUACUACGGCUCCCCGCAGUAUCACAACACUCUCUGACUAGUGAGUACUACGGCUCCCUGCAGUAUCACAACACCCUCUACCUCCACUAACUCAUGCUCCGUAGACUAUCAUAGGUAGCUGCCUAUACUCGACUCGAAUAUGCAUCACAGACUCUGGAGGCAAUCGACAUAACAAAAUGCCUACCCUUGCGGAGAUCCACUCUCUUAAAUAAACCCUCUGGAUGCCAAUACUCGAAGGGCUCCCACUAGAUCCAUAGAUACUUGAUAUACCACAAGUCAUCUCAACUCAAGAUUCACGAAUAACUCCGAAAUCAAGAUAUCAUACCCGGAUACCUCGGAACACCCCAACAGAACAUCACAAGAUCCUGCCACAACCACUGAUCUCCUGCCCCAAGCAUCAUAUAGAUACAAUAAUACAUUUCCUCUAAACCCCAUAAUUAGAUCUUCAUUUUUCCCAAAUUGCAACUUCAGUGUAUCCAAUUACUCAAUUGGAAUACGAGAAAAUGCUAACUCUACGGAAUACGCUGAUAAUUCUCCGAAACCCUUUUUCCUACCGCUCAAAAUCCAAGCAAGAAUACACAUACCGACCCGGGAGUUGGCUGCCCAAUCAUUCUCUACCUACUUGCAAUUACACUGACCACCACCAAGUUCCUGACCAUUAACCACCUGCCGUGGAGCCAUUCAUCCUUCUCAAACAAGUACUUCCCGCAUUAACUCACUCUGACCCCUUUCCUCGAUCACCAACAUCUCUGGUCUCAUGAAUUCUUACCGCAGAUCUCUAUACUCCACUUAUAACCGCUCUUGAAAAAUCUCUGGUUUCUUCCAUACGGUACCUGGUUCUCCCCCACUCAGGGUUUGAACCAUCACCAAUUGGCACACAACCAUCCCCAAUCUAUUUUCACCAGCAAAAUCGCACCUGCCCUUGGAAAGUGCUACACAACGCCCGAUAAUCCCCUUUAAGGAAAUCAAUCGACCUCAUAUACUCUGAACCUCAGAUGAAAUCCUCAAGAACUUCUCGUCACGACUGCCUCUAGUCGUUCCAAGUCUCGUACCAAUCCAAUACCAAACAACUCAACUGUCCAAUAACAUCACUGACUCAUAGACUGGACCACGAAAUCAUCAUACUCCCCCACCUCGACUCAUCAACCGACGUUCCAACACAUGCAUCAUCCCAAGAACAGGGACCCACUCCCAUAUUCAAUACUCAACAUAGAUAGAAAACCCACUGCACUGCUAAACUCGACUGAAUUCCCCACUGAUACCACUACAAUACACCCUACUAUACUCAAAUAGGUGUAAUGUGGUCCUCGACUAUCUCAGUCCCAACUGACUAUCUGCUCAUGGUAAAUCACUGCCUCGCGGCACACAUGCUACCUGAUACUCUGAUGGAAAAUCAUCAUCAAUGACAACCUGCAGGGUUUACCCCCAAACCCAAAACUUAAACAUCAUGCCUCUCAUGUUUCGCACACGAACAUAAAUAGCACCACCCAGGUCAUAGAAGGUGACAUCUCCUCUAUCGACUGAUUGCUCAACUCAGACCGAAAUUCUCCCCUCUCUUUGACUCCUUACUAAAAUACUCUGAGAGGCUCUCAAUCUCCCUCUCAAGGGACGCCUCUUCGAGCUCAAUCAUGACCGGAUAACCAGAGAACCACAAGCAUCAUUCACUACGAACCAUGGUACUCAUUCCAUGACAUCUCUUCUCAAUAUGCUCCGGUGUAUGGUACCUGAACCACAACAUCACUCCUCAAUUCGCUCCGAUGUAUGGUAUUCAAACCAUAACAUCACUCCGCAAUACGCUUCGAUGUAUGGUACCCGAACCAUAACAUCACUCCUCAAUCUGCUACGAUGUACGGUACUCGAACCAUAACAUCACUCCUCAAUCCGCUCCGAUGUAUGGUACUCGAACCAUAACAUCACUCCUCAAUCCGCUCCGAUGUAUGGUACUCGAACCAUAACAUCACUCCUCAAUCCGCUCCGAUGUAUGGUACUCGAACCAUAACAUCACUCCUCAAUCCGCUCCGAUGUAUGGUACUCGAACCAUAACAUCACUCCUCAAUCCGCUCCGAUGUAUGGUACUCGAACCAUAACAUCACUCCUCAAUCCGCUCCGAUGUAUGGUACUCGAACCAUAACAUCACUCCUCAAUCCGCUCCUUAGAACCUUCAGAAUACUCCCUGUAUCAAGUAUGGGUCCUCUGCUUUCAGUAGUACGGGCCCAUACUACCUGCCACAUCUACCCAUACUUUCCACACGGACUAUCCCGGAGCUCCUAAGUAGCUGCUCGACCUGCUCUUUCACCAAUCCCAUCGCGCGUGCUCGCUCCCCAGCGAAAUUCUCUACCCUGCCAGCGCACUCAUCUGGCUAAGGUUACUCCCUAGGCUCUUCCUAGAUUCCCACACUUCUCUGCCAUCAGCUGCUGAAGAGCUCCUAAUGAUGCCAGCCAUCUACCUCCUGAAUAUCGUCAUAUUCACUUAGUAGCUGACUCCCAUCAUCAAGAGUUCCACAAAGCACGAAGCAAGCAGCAUUCGGGCAUUGAAGCGUCCCCUUCAGCACGAAAAACCUCCUUAGGUUAUUAUCCACUCACCUUCCUCAUUCGUGAUGGAUAUCACUGAACUCUAACAACUCCCCCCCACGUGGGCAUCUGGCUACCCUCUCGGCAAGCUCCUCAUAUGCUCAUAUAGAUACCUCUUCCAUAUUACUUCCCUACACAAAUCCGCUGAAAAUUUCCUGCAGGACACUCUCGCUCAGCACAUACUCAAAAGCACAUCACAUAUAUUAGCAACCCUAAGCUAAGGCAUCACAAAUCAGGCCACUCUAGUCCUAAAAUAUGAAUUUCCUAGCCUGCCUCUAGCAUGCACACUAUCUCAUAAAAUAUAUCAUAAAUAUCUCAUAACACAAAAUAAGGGUGUUUUGAAAAAUCACCGUUCGGGCUCUGACUGAUUGUACACACUGCUCUUUUUGCUUUGUCCUUGAAACUCUUAUUCUCUUUAUAAAAACACAUUUCUUUUUGAAAAUUUUUCUUAAAUCCUCAGUUUGAGUCCAGAUUUACCCGAAGGUGCAUCCGAAUCCCUCAAACCAAGGCUCUGAUACCAACUUCUAACACUGUAAAUUUCAAAACAAAUUUUCAUUUAAAAAUAAUCGUUAAUUCUUAAAAACACUUUUCUUAAAAUUCCAGUCAUAAUCGAAUUACAAAAACAUAACUCCAUUUUCACUUGCUUAAUAAACCAGGAUCCUCAAAACAUGACUCUUUCUCUGGUGUGUACAAUCGAGCCGGUGCCGUCCCGUGAUCCUGAGAGAAACCUGAAACACAUAACACAAAACACUAUAAGCACGAAGCUUAGUGAGUCCCCCAAAAUACCACACAUAACACAUAUUAGCCACUCGAGGCUAUAACUCUGUGGGUCCGUGGACCCUACUCUAUGAACCCUCUGGUUCUAACUCUGUGAACCUUCCGGUUCUAACUCUGGGAACCUUUCCGGUUCUAACUCUAUAAACAUGCACAUCAUAGAUCACAUAGAAACAAUGCAGUAUAACACAUAACAUACAUAGCAUACCAAUACUCUGUCACAUAACUCUGGUUACCUACUCAAGGUAAAGUAUAGUGAGAAGACUCACCUGGCAAGCAGAAAGCAGAUAUCCCCGCACUUGAAUCUCGAACUCGCCACCGCCUAACACAUAAGGCAAAUACUCUCAUGAAUAUAACUCUUGAGACUAGAAUCAACCCUCUCUUGGCACCCUCUAAAGAAUAAAAGACCAUUUUACCCAUCUCUUGGCCCAAAGGCCACAUCGCUGACCAAACCCUAAAAGUCAACAAAAGUCAAAGAUCAACUUUGACCGGACUCGGCUAGUGCACUAGGGCGACUCGGCGAGUCUAUACGUGUCCACUGACUCCCUUGGAUCCUCUCUUGACACGUCGAGUAUUUCUCUGACUCGACGAGUUUCACCUGGCAUAAAUCGCGGGGCCACCACGACUCAACUCGCCGAGUCUCAAGAACAACUCGGCGAGUUCCGGCUUGACUCAGUCCCCCCUGACUCUCCCUGACUCACUGAGUCGACCCCUCAACUCGACAAGACCACUCGCUGAGUGGUUACGGGCAAACUUCAUGCUACAAGCCAAGUUUGUUCUUCAGACUCGGCGAGUCCAUGCCAUGCAUAAGUCAAACUCACUUCUGAGGUCAGAUCUGUUCCAUACAAUCAUAGAUCUGGCCUCCCCAGGCAUGAUAAUCACGUAAAGUCCAAACCUUGGUGCUCAAACAACAACUAUUUGCUCCUAGAUGAUGUUUUAUCCCCAUAUCUCAUAACUCUAGGUCAAAACUCCCAUGAAUCCUCAUAAAGCUUAAGGAAUAAAGCUUCUCUGGACCUCUAUGUAUCUCAUCCCAAGCCUCAUCACAAAUAGGGACGAAAUGGACAUCAAAUCUAACCAACAAAUGGGUCAAGAAACCCUAACCCCCAUGUUUAUCAUGACAACAGAAAAGGAAGCCAAAAUAUACCUCCAAGAUGAUGCUCUGAGCUCCAAAAUCGAAGGAUGUCCACCUCCCUUGCCUCCUCUUAGCUAGAAUCUCCUUUGCCUUGCCAAACAAAGCUUCAAAGGUCAACAAUGGCCUCUUCUCUCUCCAAAAACGCUCAAAAUCUCUUUAGGGUUUCUCUCUGGGGUUGGUGGCCGCAAUUGACGGCCAUAAGCCCCUUUAAAUAGGUCUCAAACCCUGGAAAUUAGGGUUUCAUUAAACAGCGUGGACUCGCCGAGUCCACUUUUGGACUCGCCGAGUCUAGACGUGAACCCGCACACAAAACCGUGAUCCUACUCGGCGAGUUUGGACUCCAACUCACUGAGUCUUCUCACACUCACCCAACAAUAAAAGAAUAAAAUAAUACUUGGGAAUCCGGUGUGUUACAACUACGCGUAGCAGGGAAGUCACAACCACUAGAGCUUUGUUGGGAGUUGAUUCCCCUAGAAUGAUUUGCAUUUUAUCUAAUAUCUCACUGGUUUAAUUCUAGUAUGGUGAUGACAAGACGAUUUGAGGCAGGAUCUGGAUCGGGAUUGGGUGCUGGUGGCCAGUAUAGGCCAUCUUUGACUGAGGAGCGGGUAAGGAAGAUCAUGCAAGAGGAAGUUGUUUCCUUCUUUCGUGCAUAAUUACCAGAGAUGUUAGGGUCUAUUAGACUGCCAUGGUGGAGUACUUUGAUGAGAAUUAUGUUGCAUUGUCUGAGGUUGUUGCUACUGCAGUCACCGCAGCUAUUGCUACUUCCGAGAUUUGUGAUGGGAGAGUCUUCCAGUAUCAGGACUUCGACAAUAUGAAGCCCCUGGCAUUUGUUGGAGUUCAGGAUCCGAUCAUAUCCAUGAGGUGGAUGUCUGACAUCGAGGGAUGCUUCUUCACUUACUCUUUCCCAGUUGACCAAAAGGUCUGGUGCGCUCUGAACCUUCUUAGGUCCGGAGUGAAGGAUUGGUGGAGACUUGUUACCAGCUCGUAUUCUCCAGAGUAGAGGACUGAAUUGACUUGGGAGAAGUUCUUGGAGAUGCUCUGUUCUAGAUAUGUUCUACUGGUGGAGCGUGAGAGGUUCACCCAGGAGUACUUGGGUUUGAGACAGGGUACUGAGUCGGUAAUAGAGAUCACCAAGAUGUUCAUGGAGAGGGCCAUGUUUUGUCCUGAGUUUGUUGCUUCUGAGAAAGAUUAGAUGACCCAUUCCUUAAGCAUGCUCAAGAGGGACAUCAAAUAGUUUGUAUCCACUCAGCGUUAUGGUUCAUUAUUGGAGUUACAGGAGGCCGCCAUGCGACGUGGGAUUGAGAUGGAGCUCCAGUCCAGGGAGCAGAGACUGGACCCGAUGCAGUCGCAGCAUGUUCCAACGCGGUUAAGGGUCGCUGAUACUAGAUAUGGGAUUUAGAAGGGCCACACUUGUGGAAAGUACGACAAGGUUCAUGAUGGAGCUUGUAUAUCUUAUACGGGAUGCCAAAAAUGUGGUAAGCAACACCACAUUGCGAGGGACUACCAGCAGUAGGCUCCAGUAUCCGACAUCAAGAUUUGUUAUCAUUGUGAUCAUGUGGGCCAUAUGAAUGCCCAGUCCCCCUUGCUUGCUGCUAAGGCGACACAGGCUUCAACGCCGGCUACUAUGAGGAUCGUGGAUGGGAGUCAAGGUAGGAUGGAGCCCCUGAGGGCUUGGGGUCGUGCUUUUUAGCUCACGGUAUACAAGGCCAGGUUGGCACCAGACGCCGUGACCGGUAUGUUUGUAUUUAUUAUUUUGUCGAUUAUGUUUUGUGUUAUGCUCAUGUUAUGCUCUUAAUAGGUACGAUAUUAGUGAACUCUUUUCCUGCCCUUGUACUAUUUGACUCGGGUGCGAGUUAGUCCUUUGUAUCUCGAUCAUUCAGUAGGGAGUUUGAUAUCCUUAUUGGGGAGUUAGAUUGUCAGGGUUGUAUAUUGAAGAUCUUCAGAGUGUCUUAUCUAAUUGAUAUGAUCCCUAUCCCCAUGGGGAUGUAUGCAUGAUAGUGGGUAUGGACUGGUUGAACAGGUUUGGUGCAAUGAUUGAUUGUGAGGGCCACCGAGUGGUAGUUUGAACCCCAUGUAGGGGAGAACUGGUUAUCUAUGGAGAAGGAACCAGGGUUGGUUCAGGGUUUUGUUCGGCAACCAUAGCUCGAUUGUAUAUUCAGCACAGGUAUGCAGGUAAUUUGGCUUAUGUGGUUGAUAAUCAGGUUGGGGAGCAGACUUCAGUCUUAGAGGUUCCAUUUGUCAGGGGGUUUGUUGAUGUUUUCCUAGAGGAGUUUCCCAGUGCAGCCUUGAUUCCCAAGGUGCCAUACCACUUGGCACUGCCUGAGAUGCAUGAGUUGUCAUCUCAGCAUUAGGAGCUGCUAGGCAAGCAGUUCAUAAGUCCAAUCAAUUCUCCGUAGGGAGCGCCGAUACCAUUCAUCAAGAAGAGGGAUGGUUUACACCGGAUGUACAUUGAUUACUAGGAGUUGAAUAAGUUAACGAUGAAGAACCGUUAUCCACUUCCGCGGAUUGAUGACCUCUUUGAUCAGUUGCAGGGUGCAUUUGUUGGAUUAGGUGUCUAAGCCCAUAACUAUAAUUGAUAUGUACUUGACCAGAGAGUAGCAUGGUCCAUUUGGGUUGCCUUCACCAGGACAAUUUGAUGGAUUUUUGAGAAGAGCUUAUUAUGAUGUGUUAAUAUAUUAUAAGUUAUAAUAUAUUAAUAAUCAUAUAAUUUUAUUAGUAUUGAUCAAUAAUUAAUUUGGAAUUAAUUUUGUGAUCAAAAGAGACUAAUUAGAUAUAUGGGGAUUGAUUUGGUAAAUCAAUAAUUCUUAUAGUGUGGGCUGAUUGUUAUGGGCUAAACCAAUAUGGUGGUCCAUGGAUAGUCUAUGGAGGUUUAACCCAUGGAGCCUAAGGAAAUCAAAGGUCAUGGGGAUUAGGGUUUUGCAUGGAUGAAACCCUAGACCUUGUCACACUAUAAAAGGGACCCAUAGUCACCAAAAUCGGCACCUAUGCAUUCUAAGGAAGAGAUAGCCGAUUUUGUGUGACAAGAAGCUUCUCUCAAAAGUCAUCUUAUGUUCAUAGUGUUUAUGAACCAUUUGAGGUGCAAAACUUGGGGCGAUAAGUUCUUAAAGCCCAAAGUCUUUCAAGCAACACCAAAUACAUCAAGACUUCAAGCCACAUAAAAGGUAUGUUACUCUAUCUAGUAUGUUGUAUUUUUUAUGACAAAUUGCAUGCUAGUUAUAGGUUUAAUGCCUUGGAAACCAUUUGCAUGUAUAAUUAGUGAAAACAUAGAUCCAAGGUAUUUAAGGUUGUAUGUGCACCAUAGGAUGUUGUAGUAUACCAAAACCCAUCAAUGGUAUUAGAGCCAAGGCUUGUUUUCAAUUAUACUUGAUGCAAAAGGCUGCAAAACGAAGUUUUUGUGCUGUUUGAACAGGGGACACGACAAGUCCAUUAAAGGGCUCGACGGGUCCAUGUACAAACUCAUCCAACUCGUCGAGUUUGUUCCUGCACUCGGCGAGUUGGACCCCCUGACAACAUAUUUUCGAGUUUUUUGGCUGGAAUUGGACUAGGAACAUUACCCUAAGCUGUUUUUGAACUUAUAAACUUGUUUUUGAUGUGGUAAUGUUCAUGCUAAUCCAAUUUCUAAUAUAAUUGUCAUAAUUUCAAUAUUUUUAUUAGUUUAUGUGUUCAUGCUAAUUUCUUGAAGAUUGUUGAUUUGAAUUAUCUUGUUCUUAUGAGUUAGUUUAGAUUAAUAGAAAAGUUAUGUGAUAAUUUGUUUUUGAUCCAAAUUAAUCUAAAAGUUGUUCAUCAAUUGUGUUUUUGUAACUUGUCCUCAAGUUAUAUGAAAAGUCACAUUUAUGACUUUUAAAACUCAUAAAAUUUCCAUAAGUUAUAAAAAAUGAAGAGUCUCAUUUUUAAAUGUUAUAAAGUCUUCCAUAACUUGUCCUCAAGUUAUGGAACUUGAAGAGUUUUUCCUUUAAAACUACUUUAAACUUAUAAGUUAUGGAAUUGAAAAGUUUUUUGAACUGUUCAAAACUUGCCCUCAAGUUUUGGAAUUUGUAAUGUUUCCUGCAUGAAUACUUUAAUUCCAAGUUAAACCCUUAGAAUUUUAAAAGUUAAAACUCAACCCUUAUACUAUUAUAAUAUUAUAGGUUUAAUAUUUAUAUAUAUAUAUAUAUAUAUAUANAUAAUGUUACCGCCUAUAAAAUGGCAGUUUAAUGGGUGUCUAAUCUCACCCACCGCUUCCUUGAUUGGUGGAGGGUCGUUAGCCGAACGGGUUUGACAUGACUCUAAUUCUCCCUUCAUUAAAAGUAUAAUGAUAAAUACUAAGUAACUAAACACUUUUAAAUUCCCAAUCUUAGUUACUUAGAAAAAUGUGAAUUUGGUGCUAACCCAUGAAAUUGCACUUUGUACCUUACCAAGUCGUUGGUGGAGCGUGUGUGGGUAACCGGCACACUAACAUGGACUAGUAAGAGUGGAAAAGGGUAACUUAAUGCUUAUCAUAGAUAGGUGGAGCGCGUAUGGGUAACCGACACAUCGAUUAGGUGAUAAAGUUAAGGGUACUGAGUUAAUUUGCAUGGUGGAAAUUGGUGAAUCGUCAUUCGCCUACCUUCAAAGAUUUUAUAGCUUGGAUUACGACAUCCCUCUUCCAAGUUAUAAAAUAUUGUGUUGGGUCCUAGCAUUAAUAUUCCAUAUUGGGUGUUAUAUUAAGGACUUAAAUCAACUAACAUGAAUAUCUCUCAUAUUAGAUGUCUGGUUCAGAAAACUAUGAUCAUCCCAAAUCCCUUGAAACAAGCUUUCCUAAUGAAGAUGAUGUCCCAUGGUUGGAUCAUGGAAAUCAUACUUCAAUUCCUCCACCUCCUCCAAUAAUUUUGCUUAACCCACAAGUUUAAAGACUCGAAUAGUUCAAGGUCACUCAAGCCCUAUUAGCAAGCAAAGUCUAUGUGUGCUCACAUAUUGGAGAUGAAGUCACAUAUUGACAAGCUGAGAGAGUUGGGUGUCAAAGUCUUGAGGAAGUUGGUUGUUGACUAGGUUCUUCAAUCACUUCCUAAGUCACGUAGUGAGUUCCUUUAGGACUACUAUAUAACAGACUAUGACAUGACCCUUAAUGAUCUUACCUAUUUGCUUAUUGUUGCUGAAUGAGCAAUGAUUUAGGGCACUGGUAAAACAAAUUUGAUUGGAAGAUCUACUUCCCAAAACUUUCAUGGACAUUGACAAUGGUAAAAUUGGAAAUCCAGAAAAGCUUUCUCUUCCCAAUGGAAAGGGAUCGGCCAUAGUCAACUCGGUUGACCAAAUGGUAAAGAGAAAGGCUAAGUCUGAUAUAGUCUCGUGUACCAUUCCCAAAGCGUCCAUAUGUUUCUAUUGCCAAAGGAUGGGGCAUUGGUCGCGAAGCUGCCCUAUUUACCUGAAAUAUUAUGAGGAUGGUAAAGUCAAAAGUUUGACACUACUUCAGGUAAAGUCCACUAUCUGACUCUAUUAAGUUCCUAUUUGGAGAUUCUUAUACAUGAUGUGACUAGGUCACAUGUCGAUGUUUUAAGAAUCAAAGGAAAGAGGAAUCUUAAAGGAAGAAUAUGUUGAUUCUGAUCGCGAAGAUGGAUUUCGAUCGCAUGGUUCGGUGAUCAGAAUUUUGAGCUAUUGCUUAAGAGUUAUGAUAUUUUGCUUAGGAAUAGAUAACAACAAGUUUUCAUAUGCAUUUGCAUUGUAAGGAUAAGUUUUCCGCAAAUUUUUAAAAUAAAAUAUAUAUUUUUUUUUAUUUUAAAAUUCCUUACAAUGGCAUUUGGGAAAAAAAUGUUGUUUAUAAGAUUCCAUUGAUAGCAAUAUUGGAAAAUGGAUUUGAUUCUUUCGUUUGUAGUAGUGUUGUAAUUUACCAAAUAAUGAAAGAUUCUCAUCGCCCAAGUUUCAGUUGGAUAGAAACUUGGAAUCAUACAACCUGAAUUGUAUAAUGAAUGAGAAUUUUUCAUCUUUGGGAAACUAAGACUAAUUCCUUGUUCACAUGUAAAUGUGAGUCAAGUGAAGGACUAGGAGAUCGGGUACACUUGGUUGUGUGCUGUUUAGCUCCACCACAAAGAACAAUAAGGCUAGUCAUCAUGAUUUACUAAAGUUUAGUAAAUAUGGUUCUGCUUACAAGUUUAGGUGUAAUUCUGAAACAUUGGAAAAGUUUCAAUCUAUGGCAGGACGAAUGAAAAGAAUCAAAUUAGGCAGAACCAUAAAAGUUUCUCCAAUCUGAAAAGAUAGGAGAGUAUUUUAGUAUCGUGUUUUAUGAUUAUCUUAGUGAUUAUGAAACCAUAUCAUAAUUGAUCCUCUAAGAACAUCUUAGUGCAUUCGUAUGACUGAAAAGAGGAAUCGUGAAUUGUUGAAAUGGUUAAAUCAAAAGAUGAAUCAUAGUUCGUUCCAAAAUUGAGUCUUAUAGUAAUACUCCAAGAUUGUCACUUGAGUGGCAUAAUCUUAAGAAGGUCUAUAACACUUGUCAAAAUGUAGAGUAAAAUUUUUUCUUACUUUUGUACAUUUGAAAUUGGUAAGUUGUGAUGUUUUGGAUAAAACAAAGACCAACAGAGGCCAAUUGUUUUAAGUGUNAAGACCAACUUAGGCCAAUUGUGUGAAGUGUUUGUCUUGGUUAGAAUCCAUACUAUCUCUUGGAUGUUUGACAAGGGAGUCAUAUAGGUCAAGAGGACAAUGGGAGUCUUAAAGGUCUUGAAAGUUUCAAGAACUAAUCAAGGUUGAAACCCAUUGUUUAUCACUAGCGCACGACUUGAGGUUUGUAACCUAUCGUGUUGACAUAUUCUUGUUAUUGUGCCCAUUCCAGUUAAAAUUGACUAUGCGUGUGAGUUCUAUGAGUUCUCAGUUGUUUGCAUAACAACUUGGAAGAAAUGGUAGGCCCUUGUGCUGCCAAGUGGCAAGAAGUUAAAAUUGCACAAGUUCAGUGCAUAUGAGUUUAGAUUUGUCACUAACCUUAUCUUGUGAUUAUGGUUAUGACAAAUUCACAUGGAUAGGAACACAUACACCAUAAAAUCUAAGUGUCACAAGGUUUCUCUCCAAUUCAUGAAAAUGAUGGUGAGGAAACGCUUUCGCUAAAUAGAUUUUAAGUAGAUAGCAAUUGUGAUGUUUGCAUUCUCAAAGUCGGUAGUGGAGCAUGUGUGGUUAACCGAAACACUAACAUGGACUUGUGAGAAAUGGCAAAGGUCUAAAAAAUUGAGACUAUGAUUACGACAUCCCUUAAUAUAGUUCGACAAAUUGUUUAGACACACAUGUGAGCUAUCUAAGGAAAGGUGUAUGAUUUUGAUAAAGUUUUAUCAAAGCAUCUCGUAUCAGAAAUCUGAGCUUUGGUAAGAAAGUCAAUAAAGCAUUGAUUUCUAGAAGUCCAGCUGAUUUCUGAGUACAUGUCAAAGAUAGUGGGAGAAUAAGUGUUAUGAUAAUAAUUAUCAUGUUAGUGGGAGCGUAAUCAAUUAUGAUAAGUGUUGCAAGUUAGCAAUGUUAAUUAUAGAAAACAAAAGUUUCAAUUGGGAAAAUUGUUAUGCUAUAAUUAAGGGAGAUGAAAUUAUACUUUAUUUCAAUUCUAAAAGCUUAGAUUGAGAUUUUAAUCAUCUUUAGUCAAGGAUAUAUAUAUAUAUANNNNNNNNNNNNNNNNNNNNNNNNNNNNNNNNNNNNNNNNNNNNNNNNNNNNNNNNNNNNNNNNNNNNNNNNNNNNNNNNNNNNAUAUAUAUAUAUAUAUAUAUAUAUAUAUAUAUAUAUAUAUGUGUGUGUGUGUGUGUGUGUGAAUUUUAUGUUGGAAUGGCUCAACAUAAGGAAAUUCUAUAUAUAUUGCAUUCUCAAAAUUUGAUUGUGAUUACGACAUCCCUCUUCAUAGUCAAAUUAUGAAAACAUGGCAAAUAAAAAAAUAUUGUAGCAAAAGACUGGUCUAGGAUCAUGUCUUUAUGUGAGACAUCAUGAAUCGUGUCCCAUAUGCUUCGGGUAUAUGAUCGAUUACAUGUGCUAUUAUAUUUGUCCUUUCUAAAUUUUCCAAAUGCCUAGGGCAUUAAGAUGUGAAAAGGUCUAGAAUUGGAUAUGACUAAAAGGAUUAAGCAAUUGUCGAGGACAAUCUGAGGUUUUCCAAAGAUUGGUUGCCCAUGGACAGUUGGAAGUAUGGUGUAAAUUUUUGAAAGGACCAUACUGACAUAUUCUCAAAAGAGGCAACUCUUGUUUAGAUGUGAUAGUGAAAAUGGGAAUGUGGAAAUGUUUCCGUAGGAGGAAGAUAUUCAUUAAAUCUAUGUAUUUUUAGAAAACUUAAUGCAAGAAGGAUGUUCAAAGGAAUGUACUUUGAAUUUGAGACUUCGUUUUCAUAGAAUUGAUCUCUAUUGGAAUACUUUGUAAUGUCAGUUGACAAGUCUUUGUGACUUUGUGCAUAGUUAUUACAAGUGGAUCAAUGCAUAUAAGUUUAGAAUCUAAUAGAUUUUGGUAAAUGGUAGGAAUUUGGAAUUCUUACAUUUACAAUAAGGAUUUGGAUUGUGGAAUGAGCAUCAUUGAAAUUAUGUUCAAUUGGUCUAUUUCACAAAGUAAGGAUCAUAGACAAGCAUAGUGUGCAUACUUGGAGUAUGACAUAGCUAUUGUUUGGACACACAUAGUGUGCAUGUUUGGAGCAUGGUAUGACUAUUGUUUUAAUUCAAGUAUUAGGUUGAUAAAUCGAAACAUUAUACAAUGAAUAAUGUGUAAUCAAUAUGGUGAUAAAUAAAAUGUGUUUUAUUUAUAUUCAUAAGUUCUAAGACCAUAUUGGAUUCGAUUAUUUUUGUGUUUCACUUUGCAUGUUUUGACUUCCAGAACAACUAGGUCAUUCUUCCCGAAUGACUAAGUUAUUCAAACCGUCCACAUUCGAUAAUACGUUGGACGUAUGUAUUAAGUUAAGACUGUCAUGAAUUGGGUUUGUAGAUGUCUAAAGUGUUUAGACAUAGCAAAAGUUGCUGCAACAUUUAUGAGUGCUCCUGGAAUGAGAUUCGAGUAUUAGAUUAAACCCAUGCUCAUUUGAUUCACUUCAUGGAUUUUUACACGAGUGAUCAUGAGACGAUAAUAUCUUAUAUUCUUCAAACCUAGAGAUAUGAGUUGUUGACUAUGAGUUGGUUAUACAUUGAUUGUAUGAAAACGCAUUGGUAACUUGAUGUUAUAAAACGUGCCUUUGUGUAUGAUUCAACAAGUAGUAUAACAAGCAUAUGAGUCGAAGUUUAUCCAUUCCUUUUACCCUUGGAGGGAUAAAAGUGAUAUAUGUGGGCCCCUCGAUGAUUUAGUGAUGACAAACGUAAGUGCUCGUCCGGGCCUGGACUGAUUUGAUUUGUUCAAUUAGUCAAUCGUCAUAAAUCGGAAAUUAGGAAACAACAAAUAGACAGAGAGAAUGAUUAUAAUCCAUGUAUCAGUCCAUAUGAUAUCUAUAUUGGAGGAAUAUAUGAUCCCUUAUCUAAUGGACGCGUCAUUGAUUUCUUUAGAGUUCGACAACAGCUUUUAGGAGCUACGAUUGCGAGUCGGGUUGUACUUGCAAUAAUAGUUAUUAGACUUAUCCAAGUGGGAGACUGUUGGAUUAGGUGUCUAAGCCCAUAAUUAUAAUUGUUAUGUACUUGACCUGAGAGUAGCAUGGUUCAUUUGGGUUGCCUUCACCAGGACAAUUUGAUAGAUUUUUGAGAAGAGCUUAUUAUGAUGUGUUAAUAUAUUAUAUGUUAUAAUAUAUUAAUAAUCAUAUAAUUUAAUUAGUAUUGAUCCAGAAUUAAUUUGGAAUUAAUUUUGUGAUCAAAAGAGACUAAUUAGAUAUAUGGGGAUUGAUUUGGUAAAUCAAUAAUUCUUAUAGUGUGGGCCAAUUGUUAUGGGCUAAACCAAUAUGGUGCUCCAUGGAUAGUCCAUGGAGGUUUAACCCAUGGAGCCUAAGGAAAUGAAAGGUCAUGGGCAUUAGGGUUUUGCAUGGAUGAAACCCCAGACCUUGUCACACUAUAAAAGGGACCCAUAGUCACCAAAAUUGGCACCUAUGCAUUCUAAGGAUGAGAUAGUCGAUUUUAUGUGACAAGAAGCUUCUGUCAAAAGUGAUAUUUUGUUCAUGGUGUUUGUGAACCAUUUGAGGUGAAACACUUGGGCCACUAAGUGCUUAAAGCCCAAAGUCUUUCAAGCAACACCAAAUACAUCAAGACUUCAAGCCACAAAAAAAUGUAUGUUACUCUAUCUAGUAUCUUGUAUUGUUUAUGACAAAUUGCAUGCUAGUUAUAGGUUUAAUGCCAUGGAAAACAUUUGCAUGUAUAAUUAGUGAAAACAUAGAUCCAAGGUAUUUAGGUUUGUAUGUGCACCAUAGGAUGUUGUAGUAUACCAAAACCCAUCAGUAUCUUGGUUCUCCAAGAUAGAUAUGAGGUCUGGGUAUCAUCAGGUGAGAGUGAGAGAGGAGGACGUGGAAAAGACCGCAUUUCGGACUCGUUAUGGGCAUUACGAGUUCGUAGUGAUCCCAUUUGGGUUCACCAAUGUGCCUGCUGUGUCUAUGAAUUUGAUGAUUCGGGUACGCAGGCUGAUUCUCGACUUAUCUGUCAUUGUGUUUAUUGAUGAUAUCUUGGUGUAUUCCAACACCAAAGAGAAGCAUGAGGAGCACCUUCUAGAGCUUCUGGGGGUUCUGAGGUGAGAAUGGAUUUAUGCCAAAAUCUCAAAGUGCGAGUUUUGGUUACGAGAAGUCCAGUUCCUGCGGACCUCAUUAAACAUGAUGGGAUUUUGGUCGAUCUGGCCAAGAUCGAGGCUAUGAUGCAGUGGGACGUUAUGAAAUCUCCCUCAGAUAUCAGGAGUUUCUUGGGUUUAGAAGGGUACUAUCGAAGAUUUAUUCAGGACUUCUCCAAGAUUGUUGUUGAGAAAAAAACUUGAGACACACUUGAACAAACGUUAGAACAAGUAUAGUUGCGGAAUUAGUUAAUCUCAAAGUAUCUAAAAGCUCAACAAUAAUAAGAUAAUAUAUUAGAUAGUUAGAUAGUUAGUUUCGGAAAUGUAAAGAAACAUAAAUGAUAGCAGGUGAUAUAUCAAGUAAACACAUAAGUUGAUUCAUAACAUGGAAUGCAUUCAAACCAAGUUAGUAAGUAAGAUCAGUCUUAGUGAUAGAGUCACGAGUGACUUGCUCCGAAGAGAAGUAUUAAUCAGUUGUGUUCGAGAGGAUUUUUAGAGAGUAAGAAAGAUAUGAGAUGCGUAAGGAUAACUUGAAGAUAAUUUAGAUUUAGAGAUGAGUGAAGUAAGAUCUGUAUAGAUUGAUAAAGAGUGAGCUCUAUUUAUAGAGACUCAAGAAAUACAAGUGAUUCAUUCCCUAAGAGUAGCCAUGCAAGGCAUACUGGACAAUAGAGAGUAUUACAGAGAUAGAUAAAAAUAGACUAAGUACAGAAAGAAGAUUGCGGUAUCUUAGACGACUUCGGAUGUGGCUGCUAAGGAAGCUUGACUGCGGAUGCUAGUAGACUGCGGUAGGCAAAAUUAAGAGGGUCACUUCAUGUAUCAACAAUUUCCCCUAAGUGACCUCUAAAUUUCUUCACUUAUCAAGUUUAAGGAACUUGAUCAGGGUCUACCAAAAAUUCCUGACAUUUUCCAACCAAGUGAUCCUCCUUAAAAUCUUGAACUUGACUUCGACAAUUGUAUGUUUCGAUUUUUCCAUUGCGGUUCGACAAAUUUCAAGUUGUUUCUUCGUGAGGCGGUUCAUGGAGGCGAUGGAAAUGAAGUACUUAACUUGAUCAGUUUUCCUUUUGAAGAUGACUCCAAGUUCAGGAAAGUUUGUUGCACCAAGGGAUCUUUCUUCAUAACCUUCGGUUGGCAUCGGUACGGGAUCAAGAGGAGGUAGAUCAAACUUUCUGGCCAUGAUUGGGUGUAUAUCCGCAUCGAUCUUUGCGAAGUCACAAACAAUUUCUUUAAGAUAAGUGCAUGCCCUUUCAUGUGCUAUCUUCAUCUUUGUAUGCUUUUCACACUUGUUCUAGAACACCUUUUCUAUAAGAAAAACUACUUAUGGGUUCAUGCAGGGGAAGUCAGCUUGGGUGCGGACAUAGUCCUGAUUCCUUCUAGUGAGUGUGUAUUGCACAAAGUCAGCCUUCAUAAAUUUGUGAGGUUUGUAGUUCUUGACUGCUGAUGGUCUGUCGUUGGACCAGAUCUUCUCAAUGGGAGAGGCAUGCUUGGCAUAGAAUCGGUUAAGUCUCUCGAACUCCAUUGGCAGUCUCUUGUGAUCAGGAAGGUUGCGGUCAAACUGCUCAAAUACUGUGAAGUAUUUAGCAUUUGGGGAGAUGGGAACAUCCCAGUAGCCAUCCGAAGGUGGUUCAACAUACGUUAGGUAUGUUUUAUAGUCAUCAUAUAGAAGUCUGCAGUGGGGAUUAAUCCAAGAAUUUAUCAAGGAUUCAUCCACCACAGUGUCAAAACCGCACUCUCUCCAUAUGAGCUCUACAAGUUUAGCUGAUUUCCAGUCAACUUUCUUCUGUUUAGUUACAGGGGAGUCAUUUGAGCUUGGAGAGGACAUGUGAUCCGCCGGAUUCUUGAAGUGUGGGGGAGUUUCAGGUAUUUCAGGGGAGGGAAUGAUUUUAUGUUGCGGUGGUGGAUAUUGAUGUGGAGGAGAUUGAUGAUACGGUGAGGGUUGCGGUGAAGGGAUUUUCUGAGAAGCACUGUUUGAAUGAUGAUCUUCUUCAUAGUCUUCUUCUCGAUGGUCUUCUUCACUUCCCCCUCUUGAGGAGUUUAGACUCGGAGACUCCUCAAGCCAUUGUUUGAGGCCAUCGACUUUAGCACACACCUCCUGGAAAUGGGCUUUGAGAACCUCAACCAGUUGCUAAUUGUCAGGAAUGGUGGUGCUGAAGAGCAGUCGAUGAAUCUCCUUUGUUAGUUGGAGAAUUUCGGGGCCAUGCAAGUUUGAUGAUAAUGACCGUUGGAUUUUGUUGAUGGUUGCAUGGAGGACUGAGAUAGUGGACUCAUAUGUAGUGUGAGUCUCAACUACCAGUUUCUGAGACAGAGUAGAUUGAUCCGCAAUGGCUGCCUGCAGGUUGUCUUUUAUUGCGGAUACCUCAGAUAUGAGGCGCUCCGCAGCAGCCAUAAAUUCCUUGUGAUCUGCUUGAUGGUUGUUAUCAAGGGAGCUAAUUCCCAUUUGAACCUUGAGAGAAAUUCUCUCAGCAGCCAGUCGUUCCCUAGUUUCAAUCAUUCAAUCCUUUCGAUCAAGGACUGCGGCACCGGAUUGUGUUCAGACUGUGGUUGUGUAGACUUGACUGCGGCCAGAAUUUGGUCAACCUUGGAUUGAAGAUUGAGAAAUUCUUUUCUUGAGACGACCAUCUUUUUCUUCUUUUUCUUCUCCUUUUUCUUAGAGGUUGAGUGCUGAGAGCCACUCGAUUCCUCUUCUUCAACGUACAUCAUAAGGUCAUCAUCCGAAGGAUUGGGCUGAUUGACCUCUUGAAGAUCAACAUCAUCAAAACCGAAGGUGGGAGCGGAGCUAUUCGGUGCUUGCAUCUUGGGAGUCUUUGGCAGUUGGAGAUGGAGGAGGCUUUGAAGGAGUCUGAUCAGCAGUCGCCUCUUGAGCCUUAUGGAUGGGAUCAGCCAUGUUAUCCAUCAGGGCAUGGACCUUGCAGAAAGUAGCUAUGGUAUUGGCAUUGUUGAUUGCGUCUGCCCAAUACCUAGCCACAGAUUAAAUUUCUUGUUGUUUCUGCUGAAGCUGCUUUGUUUGUCUUGCCUUUCUUGCUUGGAAUGCCCUAUGGAAAGCGGCAUUUUUUUGGCUUCGGAUUCAUUGGAUGGCUGAUACCUACUCCAUGAUUCAUUUAGAUCUAUAUCGUCAAUUCCAUAGUAUCGCACCGAGGUGUCCCUCAGGUUCACGGAUCCUUGCACAUUUGUGCUCACCGUGCCUAAACCACUUGUUACUGAUGUGAGCAGAGUAGGAUUUCCUGAGCUUCCUUGGUUUCCUUGACCUAAAGUCAAGUCUCGCCUCGGUUCAGUUCUGGCAAAGCCUGAAGAAUCGCCUUACGGUUGGGUUGGUGUUUGAAGUGUUUGGCUGACAGACAAAAGAAUGGAGUGCAACUCCUCAGGGGGAAAGAAAAGAAGACGGGAAGCCCUGGAGACCUUAGGGCGGGAGCCUGAUCCAUCCUAUUGGGAUUGACCUAGGGGGAGUCUCCACAUUACGGUGAAUCAGACUCACUGCUUGCGCCUGAGUGGUAUAGGAUGGUUGUUUCGAAUGGAUGUGCGGCCAUCCCAAGGACUACCAGAGCCUGUUGAGAGGCUGAGGUAUCAGUUCGGUCACACAUAUGGCUAGUGGGAUCGGUUUUGCGUUUCUUGAGGAUUGCAAUAGGUUGAUCAUCCUCAUCAGAGUCACUACCGGAGGGACGUUUGCUUGGUUCGACUAUAGUUACCACGGGUGGAGUGGUUUUUCUUUUCUUGGAGGGAUUGGUUUGCUUGGAAGCAUCCUUUUUGGGAGUUACUGGUUUCUUGGUGUUACGGGGACCUUGACGAGCAGAGACUAGUUGCUUGCGUCUUUGGGAUGAUGAAAUGUUUGAAAGAGUUAUGGAAGAUGGGACUGCGAUACUAACUGGGUCAAUGUUUGCAGAUGGGGUUAGAAGAGGCAGGGUAGAAAGGUAUGGGGCAAUACCUUCCGUAGCCUCAAUGUGAUCUGAGACAUCAAUAGUCUCAAGACCGAGGAUAAAAAGAAUGUGAGUUGGUAGUCUUCUAAUUGGUCCAAAAAUAAUCUGAUCAGAUGAGGGAUUAUACCUUUUAAGAUCCUUGGUGAUAAAGAAGUUGAUGUCGUUGCCCAUGCUGAUUCCUGCAUCCGCAUGGAGGUCUGAGAUGCAGAGAGACCAAAACCUUGCAAAGGUGAGUUCGGUAGGGUUCUCUCUUGGGCUUUCUUUUGGAAUGUACUGCAGAAAAUCACCCCAUAGGAACUGACCGUAGUUGACGUCAUGACCUGUGAAGAUGCUCCAUACGAGUUCUAAGAGCUUAAGUCCCAUGUUGUCUGUGUCUCCGGUUCUGCCGGAUAGACUACGGAUAUUGAAAUGACAAACGGAUUGCCGACCACAGGUAAUUGGUUUUUCUUGAAUUCCCCAAUUCCUUUGAUUUUCUUCCAGUAUCCCAUUUGGUAGAACACAGAAAGUAUUUCCACCAUUGAUGGUGUAAAAAUCUUGAUGGAUGGUUGAACAAGGAGGUUAAUGGCAGUGAGAAAUUUCUCCUUGGUGAAAAUGACCAAAGAAUCAUUGACUAGGUUAAGAUGCACUUCUUGAAGAUUCUCGAGUGGUCGAUAGGCUGAAAAAGCACACUUGAAGAGGGUUAAGAGAGGAACAACAUCUGUGAACGAAUCGAAGGGUCCAAACAAUGGGUGAUUGGACAGGAACUUGAUCAUCAGUUUUGUCAGGGCAUUGUAGAAGGAAUGUUCUUCGGACACUACUCUGAAAUUGCUUGAUGCAAUCAUCGGUGUGGGAUGUCUUGAGGCAGAGUCUGAACCAUUGGGGUUCACUGAUCCAGAUGCCUUGGAAGGUUUCUUGGAUACACCGGAUUUCACCAUUGUUGAGUUUUUGAAGAAGCUUUGAAGGAGAGAAAACAGAGUGCAAGAGAAAGGUUUAUGGUUUAGAAAGCUUAAACUUUUCUUUGGGAAGAAGAAAGGGGUUUUAUAGUGGCUUAAGGGAGCGGGAAACGUUUUUGCCCUAAGUGAAUUUGGGUAAAACGUUUGGGUGUUUAUUUUGAAUUAAAGGCAUUAAUCUCGGCCACAUAUUAAGAAAAAAAGGAUUAAAUCUGAAUUUUGGGAUUUACCAAAAAAGGUUUGCAUUUAAUGAAAUGUCAGAUUUAUGACCACGUCUGAAAAAUAUGUGGUGAGGGUGAGAUCAAUCCGUUGUGUAAAGGGAAGUUGUAACGGAUUUGAUGUUUUAGGGUAAUAGGAAGAGACAGAUUAAAAGGAUUUGAUUUUCGAAAAUCUUUCUUUUUGUCAUCAUACCUAAAAUAGGUCUGACACGAGGUUUAUUCAAAAGAAUGAGACAUAUGCACAAAGAAUGUUUUUUUUUUUUUAAAUAUUUUCUCUAUUUAAUGAAGGAUCAUUAAAUAGCACACCAUGUUUUUUUAUGGUUUUCAAAAGAAUGUAAUAGUCUAAAAAUCAAUUAAAGUGACUGCGGAUUGAAACUUCAUUGCGGAUGGAUCAAAUGCUGUCGGAUGGAUGACUGCGGUAGAUGAACUGAGAUGAACACUUGAACAAAGAUUAGAGUAACAAACAAUAAGGACCAUUGAAGUAUAAUUAUGAUAUAUGGUUACGGUACAUGGUAUAUAUCAAAACCAUCUAACAUAAAUAACUUCAACUAGGAACGCAAUGGAGACCAUGGAUGGUCUACGGUACCUAUCAAUUCAAAAAGAAUUGUGGGUCCGGAUUCAUCAUUCCUAACAUUUGUAAGAAAGUGUUGAGUUUUGUAGAGUCAAGUGCCUUUGUGAAUACAUCAGAAAUCUCUUCAUGAGUAUGGACAAAAAUUAGUUCAAUGUUACCUUUCAGGAUGUGGUCUUUGAUGAAGUGAUACUGUAGUUCAACAUGCUUGGUUUUGGAGUGAUGAAUAGGAUUGUGAGAAAUCGCUAUGGCACUUUCAGAGUCACAAUAGAUUGGUAUCCAUAGCAUUCUGUAUCCGUAGUCUAGUAGUUGUGUUUUCAUCCAUAAGACUUGAGAACAACAGCUGGCUGCGGCCCCAUAUUCAUCUUCUGCGGUAGACAAUGAUACACAAUUUUGUUUCCUUGAGGACCAGCUGACUAGUCUUCCACCCAGAAAUUGACAUCCACCUGAGGUGCUUUUGCAAUCAAGUUUGCAUCCGGCAUGAUCUGCAUCUGUAAAUGCUUGAAGACUGAAAUCAUUUCCUGCGAGGUACCAUAAUCCAUGAGUUUUGCUUCCUUUUAAGUACCGUAGACUUUGUUUGGCUGCGUUCAUAUGAGACACUUUUGGGUCAGCCUGGUACCUUGCGCAUAUACCCGUUGCAAAGACUAUAUUCGGUCGGCUUGAAGUGAGGUACAUUAGAGAACCAAUAAUACCUCUAUAAGACUUGUAAUCAACAAAUUCACCUGAGGGGUCAGCAGAUAUCUUAUAACCGAAGACCAUGGAGACCUUAGCCGAAGAACAAUUGUCCAUGGAACAUUUCUUCAACAGUUCUGAGGUGUAUUUUUCUUGAUGAAUGAAUAUCCCUUGAGGGACUUGUUUCACUUGAUGUCCUAGAAAGAAGUUAAUCUCUCUAUUCAUGCUUAUUUGGAACUUGUUGGUCAUGAGCUUAGCAAAUUCAUCCACCAUCUUUUGAUAAGUUGAGCCAAAAAUGAUAUCAUCCACAUAUAUUUGUAUAAGCAUUAGAUGAUCACCUUUUGCUUUUCGAAAUAAAGUGGGAUCACUCACUCCUCGUUUGUAACCGGAAGAGGCAAGAAAUUCAGAUAGAGUCUCAUACCAUGCUCUAGGGGCUUGUUUUAGACCGUAGACUACUUUUUCAAGUUUGUAGCAGUGGUCUGGGAAUUCAAUGCUUUCAAAACCGGGAGGUUGUUGAAGAUAAACCUCUUCUUUUAAUUCCCCAUUGAGAAAAAGCGCUUUUCACAUCCAUUUGACGAACUCUGAUGUUUUUGUGCGUUGCGUAUGCUAAGAAGAUCCGGACGGCUUCCAUUCGUGCUACCGGAGCAUACGUUUCAUCAUACUCAAUGCCUUCAAGUUGACUAUAUCCCUUGGCAACUAGUAUUGCCUUGUUUCUGACGACCGCACCAGACUCAUCUAACUUAUUCUUGUACACCCAUCUUGUGCCAACAAUGGUGUGGCCUUGCGGUUUAGGAACGAGUUGCCAUACCUUGUUCCUUUUGAAUUCUUCUAUUUCUUCUUGCAUUGUGGAAAUCCAGUCUAGUUAAAGUAAUGCUUCUUUGAUCGAUCGAGGUUCAACUGAGGACAAGAACGCUGCGUAGUGGCAGUGAUCAGAUAAGUCCUUGGAUGAUCGAGUCUAGAUUCCUGCAGAUGGGUUGCCAAUUAUUUCACCUGGUGGGUAAUCUCUCGUCCAUACGUGUAGACGAGGUUGCAUAUGAUCAACAACUGCGGUGGAGGGAAUAUCUUCAAUAUCAGAAAGCUCUGCGGUUGGAGAAGGCAGUUCCCAUGGACUUGAGAACAUCUUGCUGAAGUGUCUUAAACUGGGAAGGUAGGAUUAUAUUUGUCUUGGGCAGAUGGUGAAGGUUCCCCCUGGAGUUUAUAAGGGAGUUCGCCUUGAAUAUGUGAAGGUUCCCCCUGGAUUUGAGAACAUCCUGCUGAAGUGUCUUGAACUGGGAAGGCAGGAUUAGAUUUGUCUUGGGCAGAUGGCGAAGGUUCCCCCUAGAGUGUAGAAGGGAGUUCGCCUUGAACCUGCAAAGGUUCCCCCUGGAUUGCGGAUGGGAGAGAGAUAACCCGUGAGUCUGUUCUAGUGUCAAUGUGUUCUAUGUUUUCAUCAUCCGAAUCCGUAGAAACGUUUGAUGGUUGAAAUUCUCUGCGGAUUGGAACUUCGUCUUAUGGUACUGGAACCUCGAUGGUUGUUGUGUGGUCCAGAGUGGAGUUUUCCCCCCUCAACCGGCGAAGUGGAAGUAUUUAGCGAUACUUCUUCGGACGCUUUUGGACCAGAUACAUCUACAUGUUGUUGCUGAGCUUCUAAAGACACGAGAACUUCAGAUAACAACAAGAUCAAAGAGAUCAUCAUAGUUUACUUCAACUAGAUUUAAUGGACCCGAAGAGGCAGGGAUAUCACUUUCUAGAACUGUUGUGGUUUCAGUUGAUAGAGCGGAGUUGUGGUGUGAUAAUCAUCAAACUUCCCAUCGAAGCUUUCAAUUAUCAACCUUGUGCGUCUAAUGAGAACUCGAUAAGCAACCUUGUUAGUGGAGUAGCCAAGGAAGAUACCUUUAUCAGACUUAGGUGCGAAUUUAUUGAGGUGAUCACUAUUGUUGAUUACGAAGCAUCUACACCUAAAGAUAUGAAAGAAUCGAACAUUUGGCUUGCGGUUGUUAAGACCUUCAUAUGGUGUUUUGGUGAGACGUUUGCACAUAAUGCUUCAAUUUUGUACAAAACAAGCCGUGGCUAUUGCUUCGGCCUAGAAGUAGAGAGGAAGGUUUGUAUAAUUGAGCAUGGAUUUGGCAGCUUCUACUAGAGUGCGGUUCCUUCGUUCUACUACCCCAUUUUGUUGUGGUGUGUAAGGAGCUUAGAAGUUGUGUGAGAUCCCUUUAGAAACCAAGAAACUAUUUAGAAGAUGGUUAGUAAACUCAGUUCCAUUGUCACUUCGGAUACGUUUGACUGGUAACUUGAUCUGAAGUUCGAUUUCCUUGAUGAAGUUGAACAACACCUGCGGUGUUUUUGACUUGAGUCGAAGAAAGAAGACCCAUGUGAAACGAGUGAAGUCAUCCACAAUAACCAGUAUGUAUUUUUUGUGAUGAAGACUGGCAAUGGUAAAUGGACCGCAGAGAUCAAUGUGUAAAAGUUCUAAUGGUUUGGAGAUUGAGGAAUCAAUCACCGUGAGAUGAAUUGCCUUGAACUGCUUUCCACACUCACAUGCAGGACAGAGAGUAUCAUUGCUGAACUUGAGGAUUGGAACACCUCUGACUCAUUCUCCGGUGACCAAGUAGUUGAUGUAUCUGAAGUUAAGAUGAGCGAGCUUGCGGUGCCAUAGCCAGAUGACUUCGGAUACGACUUUGGAAAGAAAGCAUAAUUGCGGUUUACCUAUGAUCAAAGAUACAUCCAGAGGGUACAUGGUACCUUCGGAUCUGGACUUGAUCAGACAAUUGAUCCUAUCACUUGUCAUUACAUAGCAAAACUGGUCAUCAAAUUCAACAAGAUGGCCUGCUUUACAUAGUUGACCAACACUGAUGAGAUUGUGUUUAAGGCCUUCUACAUAAGCAACCUUUUGAAUGGAGAAGUUUCCUAUAGUGAGAACAUCGUAACCUCAGAUUAUCCCAUUAACAUUGUUCCCAAAAGUGACAUUUCCACCAUUACAAAUUGGCCUGAAAUCUCGAAGGUAUUCUAACCUUCCCGUCAUGUGCAAGGAGUAGGUACUAUCGAUUAAACAUUCUUCUUCUUGUUCCUACUUGCACAAGGCCUGAAAAUUACAUGGUUAGUUUAGGCAUCCAAACUACUAUGGAGCCUGGGACAAUAGAUGAGGUUCUGAUUGAUGCAUGAAAAGAGGUUGUAGGGACUGGUUUCAUGUCAACUUUUAAUCCUAGUCCUGGGUGUUUGUGAGUUUUUGGAACGUAGUCCCUUUUUGAAAAGGUACGAGGUUUCUGAAAAGUAUAUGUUUUGACAUGAGAAAACUUUUUCUGACAACUACAUUCACAUUGACCUGCUGAAAUUUAGUCUUUUGUUUUGGCACUUUGUUUGGUCAGCGGUCGGAAGGGUGUGGUUGAUUUGUGACUGGUCCGAGGUUGGUAAGAUUUGACAUGUGAACUGUUGGAUUUAGAAAAAGUUUGUCUCGAAGAAGAUGUUGCACGUGUAGACACCUUGGACCUUUUCUUGGGAUUUGGUAAAAUGCCUUUCCAUUUGUUGAAAUUUUGAUGUGAUUUUAAAAGUUUAGGAGUGGGUAAGAUACCCUUCCAUUUUGGGUCAUCCGAGGAAUAGAUUUGAAAACCAUUGUUUUGAAAAGACCUUUCUUUCUUUUGGGUUUUGUUGGAUGAGUUAGGAAUGGAUGUUGAAACGGCACAUUCCUUUUUGCAUGGCUUCUUGAUGGGAGAGUUUUUUGAAAAAUAUUGAGCAAAAACAAACUUUUCUGGACUCUUAGAUUUUGGAAAUCUGAUAUGUCUUUGGUUUUUAGAAAAAGUUUGUCGAUUUGUGCCUUGAGAAUGAAUAUCCUCUUUGAAAGCCUUUUUUGCUAAAGUUUUUGGAGAUCUACAGUCAUUAGUGUUUAACUGCGGUUUCCUGGAAGCCUUUGAAACAUUUUGACACCGAGGGCUUGACUCAUCAGAAUUUGAAAAUUCAGGAUUUUGAGAGCAUUGACCUACUUCAAAAUUUUCUAAGGGUAGUUCAUGGUGAAUGGCUUGAAGAGUCACAGAACCUUUGAUUGUGGAUUUUAGUAAGGAAAACUUAGCUACCGUAGCGUAAGUCUGGAUUGUGACUGGGAUGGAUUUUUUCUGAGAGUCAUGACUGCAGUGAGAGGCACUGCGGUCUGAGAACAAGGGUGGAAAGUCCUGUGAGACUUUGGGACUUUCUAUGACAAUUUAUUCAUUAACAACAGAUGAGGUCUGAGAAUUUGGAUUGAUUGUGCCACAGAUAAGAGGUAGAUCACAUUUUUGAUCCGAAGCCUCAAAUACAAUAUCCAUUGGACCAACCCCAAUUGUAUGUAUUGUCCACAGUUCCAUUAUUAACUAAAUUUUCAAUAGCUUCACUUUCAUUGAAUAAUUUUUCUAUUCAAAGAUUUAAACGUACAAUCUCACUAUGAGUUAAAUCUCUUUGGUUCAAAGCUAUUUCUAGUUGUGUUUCACUCAACAUUCUUGCAUCUUUUUCUAACUCUAAAUCUCUUUCUAACAUGGCUAUUUUGAGUCUUUUGUUGUCCAGUCGUCCUCUCACAUGGAACAUCUCUAAGGAUGCUAUGUUCUUCUCAUCUAAGGCAUUGUUGUAGUCUGAAAGGACGGUAGCACAUGUGUCAUUAAGAUUAUCUAUGAAAGGUUGACAGUCAUGCAUGUUAUAAUUCAUAGUUCAGAUCAUGAGUUUUACCUGUUCGACGAUGCUUAGAGUUCCAUCCUUUGCCAUGUAGCAGUAGUUCCUUUCCAGCUUUGUAGAUCCAUCGUCAUCAGCAGUUGCUAGCAUGCAGAUCUUGCCUUUUCCUUUGAUGUUGCUGAUGUUUUCUUCUUCGUCUCUGGAUGACCAAACUUGAUGGAAUCUUUUGACAUGAGUCACAUAUGCCCUAGCCUUUUCCUUUUCCUCCAGUUCUUGAGCCAUUCUAAGGUAGAAUGCUCUGUCUUUCACUACGUUGGCUUUGCAAUCCUUUGCAAAAUUAUUUUCUUUGUUGCACUUGUGGCAUAGUACAACAUCACUUUUGUCUUCUGAAGGGGUACCAAAGUCAGGUGUUUGAAUGGACUGCUAUGUCUCCUUUGGUUGAGUGUUUUGAGAUUGCAAUUGUGAUUUUGAACUUUUAGGAUAAUGAGAGUGAUUGUUUUGUGGAUUGAAGCUACGAUUGAAAGAUGGUUUGUUGAAUUGUUGAUUUUAUCGAAAAGAGUGAGGUGGUAGUCGGUUGAACUGUUUACUAACUAGAGCAAUAGCCUUCUGAAAUUCUUCAUCAUCAUCAUACUUUGAGUCAGCUUCAUAUGAUUGCGGUGUAGUGUCAUAUGAGGAAGAGUAAGACUGGUUGUUAGGAGAUUGUGCUACAAGAGCAAGUGGUCCUCCGAAGUCAAGACAGUCUUUGAGUACGGUGGAUUCUUGUGCCUGCAAUUCCCCAUAUAGCUUGUAGAGAGACAGGGAAUGAAUCUUUCUAUCUCCUUGAACUAUCAUCUUAGCAGUAGUCCAAUGUCUUCCUAACCCGUUGAGAAAUUGAAGGUUUGUUUCAUGGUUACUGCGGAUGGUUCCAGCAUUUGAUAGCUUAGUAACUAUCAGCUUGAACCUUUUGAAGGAGUCUUCUAAACUUUCACCAACAUGAGCUUUGAAGUUGUUGAAUUCAUUGAGUGCAGUUGUGAGCUUCUUAUCUUGAGCUUGUUCAGAGCCCUGAUACAAGUUCUUGAGAACAUCCCAGAUCUCUUUUGCUGAUUUACAGUUUAUGAUAAUGUCGAAGUUGUCAGGAGCAACUCCACAAGAGAUUUCAUAAAAAGCAACAACAUAAUUUUCAAUUUUAUCAAGAUCAUCCUUGGUGGGAUGGUUCAAGACUGGUUGUCCUCCUCAUAGUCUGGUUGUGGCACCAUCAGUUUGAACAGGUGUAAAAACAGGGACAUGUGGUCAUUCUUCAACAGAUCGCCAUUCAUCUCUACCAAGUCUCCUUAAGUAUCUUUCCACUCUUUGAGACCAGUGAUGGUAUUCAUUUGCAACCAGUAUUGGAGCUCGAUUUGAACCACCAACACUGUUGGAAACGUUUAGAGAAAAUGCUUGUGCCAUUUUUGUUUUUUUUUUUUAAAUGAGCUUCAGUGGUAUAGAAUGCCCUUUGAAAAAUCAGAGUUCCGUUUUUCAAAAAGCAACCACUAUGGCUCUGAUACCAAUUAUUGAGAGAAAAACUUGAGACACACUUGAACAAACGUUAGAACAAGUAUAGUUGCGGAAUUAGUUAAUCUCAAAGUAUCUAAAAGCUCAACAAUAAUAAGUUAAUAUAUUAGAUAGUUAGAUAGUUAAAUGCAGAAAUGUAAAGAAACAUAAAUGACAGCAGGUGAUAAAUCAAGUAAACACAUAAGUUGAUUCAUAACAUGGAAUGCAUUCAAACCAAGUUAGUAAGUAAGAUCAGUCUUAGUGAUGGAGUCACGAGUGACUUGCUCCGAAGAGAAGUAUUAAUUAGUUGUGUUCGACAGGAUUUUUAGAGAGUAAGAAAGAUAUGAGAUGCCUAAGGAUAACUUGAAGAUAAUUCAGAUUUAGAGAUGAGUGAAGUAAGAUCUGUAUAGAUUGAUAAAGAGUGAGCUCUAUUUAUAGAUACUCAAGAAAUACAAGCGAAUCAUUCUCUAAGAGUAGCCAUGCAAGGCAUACUGGACAAUAGAGAGUAUUACAUAGAUAGAUAAAAAUAGACUAAGUACAAAAAGAAGACUGCGGUAGCUUAGACGACUUCGGAUGUGGCUGCUGAGGAAGCUUGACUGCAGUAGGAAGAAUUAAGAGGGUCACUUCAUGUAUCAACAAUUGUGGUACCCCUCACUCGUAUGAAGAGGAAUGGGUGGAUUUCCGAUGGGGCCUUGAGCAACAGUCGGCGUUUGAGACUCUUCGGUAGAGGUUAUGUGAGGCACCGAUAUUGACCCACCCGGAGGGGGUUGAGGAUUUUGUAGUAUUCUGUGAUGUAUCCAUCAAUGGUUUCGGGGUGGUCCUUAUGUAGAGAGGACGAGUGCUUGUUUAUGCUUCGUGGCAGCUGAAGAUACAAGAGACAUGAUAUCUCUCACAUGACCUGGAUUUAAGGGAAUGGUGUUUUCCCUAAAGAUUUGGAGACAUUUAUAUGUAUGAGGUUCGUUGUACUUUCUACAUGGAUCACAAGAGUUUGAGAUAUCUGAUGGAUCAGCUUAACCUGAACUUGAGGCAACGUAGGUGGUUGGACGUGGUCAUGGAUUAUGACUGCAAGAUCCUUUAUCAUCCAGAUAAAGCGACUGUAGUAGCGGAUGCUUUGAGGCACAAGUCAGAUGGGUCUUCGGAUGGGGAGAUGUGUAUGAGGAUAUUCGUUUAUUCUUUGCUUUUGGGAUUGAUAAGAGAGGAUUAGGUAGAGGGAGUUUAGAAAGAAAACUGAAAAAGGAAAGGAUCAUGGGUGAGAUUGACAUAUUUUUCAUGGAUAGUCGAGGGUUAUUGACCGGUGUAGUUGGGUUUGGGUUACAGUUUCUAGUGGGAUCAGGCAGAUUGUGUUAGAGGAGGCUCAUAAGUCUCGUUUUUUCUAUACACCCAGGAACCACUAAGAUGUAUUGGGAUUUGAGAUUGAGUUAGUGGUGGCCAUGUAUUAAGAAGGAGAUAGCCUGGUAUAUCUAGAGAUGCUUGACUUGCUGGAUGGUCAAGUCUGAGCAUCAGAGACCGCAUGGCAAGCUGCAGCCUCUGGAGGUUCCAAUGUAGAAAUGGAAGCAGAUCAUCAUGGACUUUAUCACCAAGUUGCCAAAGAAGGCAAAGGCUUUUGAUGGUAUAUGGGUCAUCGUGGAUCGAUUGACCAAGAGUGCCCACUUUUUGGCUAUUUAGUAGAGUUCCUUGUCCGAAACAUUGGUCGAUGUUUAUGUCUAGGAGAUAGCUACUCAUCAUGGGGUUCCGGUUUCCGUUGUUUUUCACCGAGAUGUUCGGUUCACCUCCCGUUUCUGGCAGAAGUUCAACGAGGAACUGGGCACGAGGUUACCUUUUAGCACUACAUAUCAUCCGCAGACUGACGACUAGAGUGAGCGGAUUAUAUAGACCCUUGAGGAUAUAUCGCGGGCCUGUGUUAUUUAUUUUGGUUGGAGUUGGGAUUCCUCCCUACCUCUUGCAGAGUUUUCCUAUAACAAUAGUUAUCACUCCAGCAUUGGUGCUCUACCUUUUGAGCUCUUGUAUGGUUAGAGAUGUCGUACCCUGGUUUGUUAGGGAGAGGUUGGUCAUAGGUUUAUGGGAAUGACUGAAGUAGUAAUUCAGACCAUGGAGCUUAUUCAGCUGAUCAGGAAGAGACUGCAGACUGCUUAGAGUCAAAAAAAGAGCUAUGUCGACCAAUGUCGAUCAAAGUUGGAGUUUCAGGUUGGCGAUAUGGUACUCCUGAAGGUCUCACCUUGGAAGUGUGUGAUACGCUUUAGGAAGAGGGGGAAACUAGGUCCCCGAUUCAUUGGACCUUUCUGGGUGAUUGCCAAGGUUGGCCAGGUAGCUUACAUGUUGGAAUUGUUGAGCGAGCUUAGUCAGAUCCACAACACUUUCCAUGUCUCUUAGUUGCGGAAGUGUGUGUUGGAUAAUGAGGCAGUGAUUCCUUUGGAUGAUAUUCAAGUCGAUGAGCGCCUAGGUUAUGUUGAGAGGCCGUGGAUAUUCUAGAAAGGAAGAUGAAGGUUGUGCACAACAAGGAGAUACCUUUGGUAAAGGUACAUUGGCAGCAUCAGAGAGGCUCUGAGUGGACCUGGGAGCCGGAGGCUGAGAUGUGGGAACAUUAUCUUGAGUUAUUUAUCGCAAUAGACUUUGAGGACGAAUUCUAGUUCAAAUGGAGAGAAUUGUAACAUCCCGAUGAUAAGGUACUUCUAAUUUUAAUCUGAUAAUUUAAUUAUGUUGCAUUUUGGUCCCUAAAUUCAAGAAAGUGUGCAAAAGAGCCUUAGUGGCAUUUUCAUAAAUAUGCUUAGGGGAGUACGCUUUACGUACGUGUGUACGCUGAGCGUACUAGGGCGCGCCCUAGUAUGCUGGGCAUAAAUGUUGUACGUUGGGCAUACUUUCUAGAUUUGGAAACCCUAAUUUUUAGGGUUUAGCUCGUGUUUAAACACCCUUAUGCAGUGGCGAGUCUAGAACGUAAAACCAGGUGGCUCACUAUUUAAGUGAAACUGAUAGAAAAAACGUAAAAAAUACUAGUUACGUGUCCGGGUUGGGUCGUAAGACUACCGUGUGUUAAGCGGGAGAAGAAACGACAUGGUGAAACACCUUUUUUUGCCUUGUUUUCCUUUAUUUAUCUUUAACUUGUAUUGAGCUAUUUUUUUAUUGGAUUAUAUUUUAAAUGAAUUAGGUAUUUGAAAUAUAAAGUGUUGGCUUUAAAAAUCUUUAUUUAUACAUAAUUUUUUUUGCCAAGAACAUUAAAAAUUUUAAGGUAGUUCACUUCAAAUAUUUAAGAUAUGUCACAAUUUAUAUAUAUAUAUAUAUAUAUAUAUAUANNNNNNNNNNNNNNNNNNNNNNNNNNNNNNNNNNNNNNNNNNNNAUAUAAACUCUUAUAGGAAAAAUUAAGUGGGUAAAGUGACCCACUUUCAAUACAUACAAACUCGCCCCUGCCCUUAUGGUUUCAUUUCCCCUCACCUCAUCAGCCUUCAUCCCUCUUGAUACGUUUUACAACCCUAGUUCACCAUAAGAAUCUAUUUCAAACCAAAGAGUAUGUGUUUUGUGCUUAGAAGAAGAAGGAAGGAGGCCAAGCUCAUCUUGGAAGGGUGAAACACUUUGGAUAUGGGGUUUCUACGUCAUUUGCUACCUUUUUAAGGUAUAAAGCUUGCAACUUUACCCCUUUAUCAUAUAGAUGUAGAUUUGGAUGUUUUAAUGAUGCUUUUUGGUCCCAACAAUGUUAGAUCUUGAACAUGGCUUGUUCUUGACAAUUAAGUUGUCCUUUCCAAUGCUAGGAGGGGUCUUAAGUCAUAAAAAUGGAGUCCAAAUGGUCGGUUUUGUCCCAUGCAUGUUAUGGAGAGUCUUAAGGCGUUAAGAUGUUGGGUUUUUAUGGAUUAAGCAUUUAUUGAGCAUGCAAGGUCAUAAAGUUGGAAAAUUUAUGACUCCUAAUUACAGUUUGACAUUGGAUUUGCAUUUAGACGUGUUAAUACGUUGUAUUAAGCACUUAAUGGAGAAAAAGGAUAGUAUGGGGUUACGUUGAGCGUACCUGGGCUACGCCCAAAAUACACGGUCAACGAACCUAUUUUUGGACAGCGGCGGAGUACGACUAGCGUACAUCUAGAGUACCCCCUGCGUACGCAUACUGAGUUGACUCGGCAGAGUUGACUCGGUGGGAUUGAAUCAGUUGAUUUAUGGAGUUUGACCUCGACUGUAACAACCCAAAUUUUCAAUAAAAUUUUUCAUUUUAAAAUAAUGAAAUCAUUUCCAUAAGUUAUAAAAUCCCAAUCAUAAUUGUUUUGAAAAUCCAUAAGAUCAGAUGAAUUAUUCAUAAAAUCAAAGUGUCCCCAAACAAAACGCCAAAGAGUGCAUGCCACGCCAUCACGCCGGACCCUUGCCCUUAGAUCCUGAAGUACCUGAAACAACCAACAAACUAUAAGCUAAUGCUUAGUGAGUUCCCCAUAGCUAUCCCACAUAAUCCAUAUAAUCACAAAAGCCAUAUCAGUCACAUAAGCAACAUAAUCCAUGCAUACAAAGAUAUAAGGAUGCCCUGGAAACCCUCCAGGGUCUUACUCUGGGUGCCAUGGGAACCCCCACAUGGUCUUAGCUCAAUGCCUCGGGAGCCCCCUAAGGUCUUGACUAGAGAUACUAUGGAAAAACCCUCCAAGGUCUUAUACCCUAGUGCCUCGAGAACACCCCGAGGUAUUUACUUAGGAUACCAUGGAAACCCUCCAAGGUCUUACACCCAAGUGUUUCGGUAACCCCCCGAGGUCUUCCAUUCAAGUAUCACAAACUAGCCUACCAUAUAGCAUAUAAACAACUAGUAUACCACAUAUCAUUACAUCACUAGUGUACCACAUAUCACAACAUGGGCUGGCCUUGGUGCCUUUGACCCAUUGGUAUGGUGAGGAGACUCACCACUGUCUACUGAACUCGAAAGCUGCUCGCCUAACAAUCUGAAACCACCUGUGUUGAACAAUAAUGCCAUUCACCCAAAAUUAGGAUUAAGUACAAUCUAAUUUAAAGAGCCCAAUUUCCUAAAACCAAGCCCUUCCAUAAUGGCCUAAAAGUCUUUCCUUUGCUAAUGGGCUUAAAGUCCAUGUCCAAAGCUAUUAAUGGGCCACAUGGCCCAAUAAGGCCCAACCAUAGCAACCAUGGCCCAAAAUAGAUAAAUUGGACCACUAACUCAAAACCUGACCAUGCCCAAUAACUGAUUAAGGCCCAAAGCGCUUACAAGCCCAAACCCAUCUGAGUGCGUACGCCUUGCGUAGCACUCCUAUACACUCAGUUUACUUGCUCUUUUUUCCGUAUGUGCUGUGUACAUGCUUCUACGCGCGGCAUACUGGUCUGACAUGCAUAAAUGAGCAUUAAGUUCUUAAUGCUUGGGAUAUAAAAUCAAGCUUCAGAUCUGGGUCCAAUAGACGUUCUAAGGCAUAAAGUUGGAAACUUUAUGCCCUUGCAUGCUCCAUAUACUCCUAACAACCCCUUAUAACCCAUUAAGACCUUUCCAAGGGUCUUAACUCAUGUAGGAGGUCAAAACACCCAUCACAAUUGCAUUUUUAUGGUAUGAAUGAACUAAGGGACCUCAGAUCUACUCUUCCUAAGCUCUGGAGUUGCUCAAACUCCCGUGAGAUGAUCUACGAACACAAAUGGGACAAUAAAGCAAACCCUAGCUCAAUCUAAUGAAUAAGAUGGCAAGAUUAAAACUUUAUACCUCCAUAAGCUCCUCAAAGUGAACUAGAUGCAUGAUCUUGAAGCUCAACACCACACCAAGCUUGCUCACUAACUUCUUCUUCUUGAAUAAACUCUAAAAUGGCCACAAAUACACUCCUUAAGCUCAAGUCUCACAAGGAAACUCUGGUGUAAAAGGGCGAAUUGAAGCUAUGGAGGCCGAUUAGGGUUUGAUCCAAGAGGCUUAAGGAUUUUUAAAUAGGUGUCAAGUCCAAUAAUUAGGGUUUUGCUCCUCUAUCGCGUACGCCCCACAUACCUCUAGGUACGCCCCGCGUACACGGCCACCCUCCACAAUCAUUCAUCUUUAGUACACUAAGCGUACUCCUGGAGUAAGCCCCACGUACUAAGGGGUUAUUAUGUUACAUAAUUUCAAUUCAAGGGUUCAAAUGGUAAUACCUGAUUUGGAGUGUUACAUUGACUUUGACCAAGUUUGACCUUAAGCAUAUUUUAGGAUUUUGAUGGAGAUUGUGUUGGAUUAGGUGUCUAAGCCCAUAACUAUAAUUGGUAUGUACUUGAUCCGAUAGUAGCAUGGUCCAUUUUGGGUUGUAUUCACCAGAACAAUUUGAUAGAAUGGAUAUUUGAGAAAGAGGCUAUUUGUGAUUUAUUUAUAUAUUAUAAGUAUAAUAUAUUAACUGAGAAAUCAUAUUAUUUAAUUAGUAUUGAUCAAGAAUUAAUUUGGAAUUAAUUUAGUUAUAAAAAGAGACUGAUUAAAUUAACGGGGACUGAUUAUGUAAAUCAGUGAUACAUAUGGUUUGGGCUAAUGAUCCAUGAUUGAUUUGUGAGGGACUAAACUUAUGAGACAGUCCAUGAAGUUUUAGUACAAAUCAAUUGUUCGAUCAUAAUCCUAAGUGUAAGAAUUAGGGUUUACAAGGGACUUUUGGAAUUCUACACUAUAUAUGUAACCUCUAAGCCCCUAAAAUUGACACCAAGAGUAUUGUAAUAGGAUAUAGCCAAUUUUUUGGCGCUCCAAGCUCUCUCUCAUUGUCAUCUAAUUGUUGGUGGUGUUUUGUGAAACAUUUGAGGCACCACACUUGAGGUGUUAAGCUCUUGAAAGGACAACUUCUACAAGCUACAACAAGGGGUAAUUAUCUAACUUGUUUUUAUGAUUCCAAUAUCAAAUUUUUAUGCGAGUUAGGCUUCAUGCUUUGGAAAAAGAAUAUUAUAUGUAUAACUAGAGAAAACUUAGAUACAAAGCAUUAGGGUUGUAUGUGCACAAUAGGGAUGUUAUAGUGCUCAAAACUCAUCAGUCGUAUCAGAGCUUAGGCUGUUUUCUGUUAUAUUGAUGCAUGGCUAAUUGUUCAAAGUUGAAGCAAAAAUGAAUACUGUUUUCUGCCAAACUGAACUCGACGAGUCCCAUGAGGAACUCGACGAUUUCAUGAUGAUCUCGACGAGUCCAUUACUUGACUCGACGAGUUGGACAAUCUGUUGGCAGUUUUUCGGGGUUUUUUUUGGCCUGAAUUGGAUUAGGAUCAUUACCACAAACCGUUUUGUAUCAUAAAAUCUGUUUUUUAUAUGGUAGUGAUUAUCCUCAUCCAAUUAAUAGAUAAUUGUCAAAAUUUUAAGAUAAUUGUUAGUUUAUAUGAUAAGCUAAUCAUUUGUAAUUUUUUGAUUUGAAAUUAUCUUGCCUUAUGAGUUAAAUUAGGUCAAUUUGGUAAAUAAUAAAUUAUAUGAUAAUUUUAUUAGUUAAAUUUGAUCUAAAUGUUUCUAGAAGAGUUUCAUAACUUGUCCUUAUGUUAUGGAAUAUGAAAAGUCUCAUUCAUGAAACAUUAACUCCUUAAGUUAUGGAAUUCAAUAGGUUUUGAAGAGUUUCGAAACUUGCCCUCAAGUUUUGUAACUUGAAAAGUCUCAUCUAUAAAACAUUAAAUUCCAAAACCCUAGUAAUUUGAAAAGGUUCAAAAAUGAACCUCUUGGUUUUGUAACUUAAAAUUUAAUUAAGUAGCCUUAAUUGUGAAAUCUUAAAUUUAGAACCUUGAUAUUUUGAAUACUUCAAAUUACACCCUUAUGGUUUUAUUAAAUUAAUUAAGUGGUUAAUUAAAAAAGAGAAUUAAUAAAUCUAUAAUGACAUGGUUUAAGUUUAAUUAAAUUAAAAGUCUAAUUUAUUAAUAGAUUAAACCACUUAGUAUUUUAAAUGUGUAAAAUACAUCCUUAUACUAUAUAAAACUAAAAGUCUAAUAUAUUAUAUAUGUAUAAGUUGAAAGUCAUUCAUACCGUUAGUAGGCCUCAUUCACGAAGCUGAUCUAUAAGGAGUGUUAAGCGGCCUAUAACAUGACCACCAUUGUGUAACACCCCAUUUAUUAAAUAAAUAAACAGAUUAAUUUAAUGGAUGAAUAGUAGCCAUAAAGUCCAUAAUAUUUAUCAGGGUGUUGGUUUCGGGGAGUCGAAUGACAUGAUUUAGAGUUUUGGGGAUUGAAGUGUAAAAUCUGGACUUAAUUUGUAAGUAUUAUUGAAGGCAGGGACUAAGUGGUGAAUUAUUGGGACUCAAAUUGAAGAGAUUUUGGAAGCUUAGGCGUUGAAUGGUAACAUAUAGACUUCAUUUGAGAACAAUUUGUAGAAGAGAGGCUGAUUGGUAAAUUUUGAACUUUAUUUGUAAGGGAUUUAUGGCAAGGGGUUAAAUCGUAUUUUCCAAAACUUGUUUUGUCAUACGAAUCUUAAAUCAGGGUAGAAAUCGCCACAUUAUCAAAUCCUUAGGACCAAUUUUGCCAAUUUCAGAAUUUGGCUUGUCUCAUUCUCCCCAAUCGGAUGCAGCUCCUGCUGGGAAUAUUUCUUACUCAUUUUCGGACCAAUAAUCUCAAUUGCUUCAAAAGAUCCCAACACCCUUCUUCCACUUAUAUAUUCAUACUUUUCAUGGAUUAGGGUUAAGAAUGAGUGAGGGUCGCUUGAGAGGCUGCAUCAUGUAGUUGUGUUUGUGAACUUUGACUCACUCCCUUAACAGUCGAUGACUGCUAUCAUCUCUGGUGGAGUGAGCAAGUGUGAUUUAUUUCAUUCAUAAAAUUAAGGUAUGAGAGACGAAGUGCAUCGCUAGGAAUGGGUGGCAGGGGAUAUGAAGCCCGACGACUUGGGAGGAUGUUUAACGAGAAGUUGACUUCCGACAGCAGGUUUCCGGUGGGUUUUAGAAGCUAUGUUGAGUAUCGUAUUCACUCUAGGCGUUCACACUAAGUUUCUUGAUGAGAUUUUGUUCCAGUCGAAGGGAGGCUCAAGCGAAUAUGUGGAGAGUUAAUGCGAUAACCGGUUGUGACUAGUGAUCUGUUAACAUUCCAAUUUCUAAGCAACUCCAAUGGCGAGGUUUAAGCACCUUUUCAGCUAGAAAGGAGAGUGGGGAGAGAAAACUGAGAAGGCAACUCUAGUAGGUCGGUUCUUGCAUUCAACGAUCGUCGUAUUAGACGGUGCUAGAGGGGUUGUCGUCGGAGAAGCUUAAAUUGUCGGAAUUGAAGAAGGGCGUCGAUUGCCGAAUGAAUAGGUGUCCUUCUCGUAUCUAUGUGAGAGUUCGGGAAUCUGUCAGCCAGCAGCUGGGGUCGAGUAUGUGGGACUUCAGCAAGUGUGUGAUUAUGUCUUCGGGACUUCAACAGUGUGAGGUGAGUUACCUUCCAAUAGCGGUGGGUCUAAGGCCACAAUGUCGGCCCACCAGUAGGAGUUGUAUGUUAGAUGAUUGUCUUUGUGAUAUCAUCUAGGUUUGCUACUACCUGAAAUGUUAUAUGCUGGCAUGAUAUGUUAUAUGUGAUAGUAGUAGAGUUCGGUUGUUAGGACCGAAAGGUAGGUCAAACACCCCAGAUAUGUCUGACAGUAUGUGAUGAUAGGUUUAUAUGCUGGCAUGAUAUGUUAUAUGUGAUAGUGGUAGUAGGAUGAGAAUAGUCCCCAAGUUCGGUUGUUAGGACCGAAGGGUCCCCAGAUAUGUUUGAUAGUAUGUUUAUGUUAUGAUAUAUGUGAUAGUAGCAGUAGGGGGUGGAAUAGUCCCCGAGGGUCGGUUGUUAGGACCGGCGGGUAGGUCAGCACCCUAGAAUUGCUUGACAUGGGUCCCAGAAUGGCUUGACACAGGUAGGUCGGCACCCCAGAACGGUUGUACCGGGUAGGUCAGCACCCCGGAAUGGCCGUACCGGGUAGGUCGGGCACCCCAGAAUUGCCCGGCAGUAUGUAUGCUUUGUGAUUGUAUGGUAUGUGGUAUGAUUGGGGAACUCACUAAGCUUCGUGCUUAUGUUUUUCAGCUUGGGUUUUUAGCUUUGGUUUCAGGUAUUUCGUGUUUAAAGGAAAGGAGUCGGCUUGAUCGCAGCGCAUCAGACUAUGUUUUUUCGCACACGAGAUCUUGGGUAUUACACUCUGAUAUUGUUUUACGAUAACAUGUUUUGAUUAUUCUACUUUGGUUUUGACAUGACAUGAUGUUAUGGAUGUUUUCUUAUACUGUUGGUUUUAUAAUAAUAUAUUUAAAAAUAAAAAUUUUGGCCUGUAAUUUUGGGAUAUUACAAGUUGGUAUCAGAUCUUUGGUUUGAGGGAUUCGGGAACACUCUCAGGUGUGUCUGAACUCAAACUAAGGACUUGGUAUGAAAAUUUUCAAAAGUAAAAUGAUUUUAUAAAAAGAAGUUUGGAAAGAGAAAAUGACUUUGAAAAGAACAAGGUGUGUGAUGCGUGCAAUCAGCCGAGCUCAUGUAAGUUUUCCCCAAGAUACCCAUUCAUGUUAUGAUAUUUUAUGAUAUGAAAUGGUUAUGAGAACUGAAUGCUAGAUUAGGGUUGAGGAUCUUGGAGGAUGCCUUAUAUGCCUAUUGUAUGUGCUUGUAGACUUGCAUGCUAGUACUGAUCAGUCAAUGAUAGGACAGCCUGUUUAGGUUACGCCUGAUUGUAUGAGCCUUUGAAUUGUAUGUACAGAUUCUUGACUAGAGGAUAGAAUGGUUUGACUGGAAUAUGAUGGUUAGAUUUUCCUUUUUGUCCGAAUGUUGCUUGCUCUAUGCUUUGGGGGACUCUGAGUAAUGGGAGUUAGCUAUUAGGUGAAUACGUUAAGUCACAUGUAAUCAGGGUUGAAUAAUCUUAGAGUAUUGGAUUUGACCCUAUUGCGUAGCUCUCGUUUGAGUCUUAACCGUUGUAGGGAUGAGUUCCUUACUUAAAGGAUUAUCCGAGUCUCGUUACAUGUGAUGGUAUUCAGGUGAUGGCUAAUUGGCAUUACGAGGAGGCCUUCAGCAGCUGAGGACUGCUUUGGGGUCGGAGAUUUCCCUAGGGUAAGCCUAGGAUAUGUAUCAGUGGGUUAGUAGUGAGGCUUAGUGAGACUUGGAUGUACCAGUUUGAGGAAGUGACUUGGAGGAUUCAGGAGGAUUGCUGAGGAAAGUAUGGAUAGGUGUGGAAGGCAGUAUUGGGCCCGUACUACUGAAAGCACAGGAUCCAUACUCGAAUCAGUGAGAGUCUUGGAGAAUCUGAGAAGCUUCAAGGAAGAGUUUGUGACCCAGUUUAGGGACAAAGGAUGUUCCAGUUGUUGCAGCUUAGCCAUUGGCAAGUGAGUUGGUGAGCAUGGCAGGGUGUCAGACCCUGGAGGAUAUGAUUUCCAAGAAGCUGCAGAUGCGAGAUCAAUUUGGAGCACCCUGGAAAGAGAGGGUUCUGCCAGGUGCGUAUAGUAGAGGGUCCAAUGAAGAGACCCAUGACUUCUGAUCAUCGGGUGAAAGGCCAGCAGGGCCUGAGUCCGUGCAGCACGUACAUGACAGUGCACAAGGGAGUUUGUCGCUCUGAGGGUUUAGGCUACUACAGGGUAGUAGGGUUGAUCAUGUCAGCAUAAGGUGAUUAGUAUUCCUCCAGAUCUUGCGGGUAUGUCAUCGUCUAUUGCUACUAGAUGGAUGUUAGGGAUACGUAUCGCGUUGGAGUUAUGAGUAAGUUUGGAUAAGAUAGAUCUCGAGACGGUUUCCUGCUAGUGUUUAGGUUAUCAAGGAUCAUAUAUGCCAUCCUGCAUGCCGAAAGGUCCUUGACGAACCCACAGUUGGACGCAUCUUGUAGAGUGGGUUCUGCGUGUACCGUUAUCAUUCCGGACCUUUGUGGAGAAUUAUUUAGAGGAUACUCGGUCAGGGUUAGAGUGAUAGUUCUCCAAUGGAGUCAGCGUUUAGGGUUCUAUCAUUGUUCAAGUGUGGUCGGUAAUUGUCUAUGGAUGAACUUUGGAGUUCAAGGCACUACCGUUGCUAGGACAGAGCUAGUGACAUGAAAAGGGUGGUGUCAGUCGCGGGUGUUAGAUGCACAAGUGGUUGGUCAUCGCAUGUUCAAGAGAAUUGUAUUUUCGCAUUGGAUAUGUUCGGCUAGAGUUCAGUGGUACUGCAAGAUUGGAAGUAGGAACGAGGAUUCGUCAGCCAGAGUGAAGCUUGAGACUUUCAAUUGACAGCAUGGGAGAUGGAUUGAGGUGUCAGAUUGGACCAGAUUUCAAGAGUACUCUUCAAGAUUUCAGAGGAUGAGCGAUCUUAAGGUUUGAUUGGUGAUGGAUCGCUAGCACUGGUAAGUACAGGUUAUCGUCAGUGAAGACUUAGUCGAAUCUAAGUGGGGGAGAGACUUUAUAUAAAGUUCUCCAAAUGUGAGUUCUGGUUGCGCGAGGUGCAAUCUCUUGGGCACCUUGUCAACCAGAAGGGUAUUCUAGUUGAUCCGGCCAAGAUAGAGGCCGUGAUGCAGUGGGAGAUUCCGAGGUCUACAUCCGAGAUUCGGAGUUCCUGGGUCUAGCGGGUUAUUACUGGAGAUUUAUUCGAUACUUCUCCAAGAUUGAGGUUCCCUUUGACCCGACUGACCAAGAAGUCGGUGGCCAUUUGUUGGGGGCCUGAGCAGCAGGCAGCCUUCGAGACUCUCAGACAGCGGCUGUACGAGACACUUAUUCUCACCAUGCCAGAGGUUUUAGAUGAUUUCGUGGGUUAUUGUGACGCUUUGAUCAUGGGUAUGGGUGCGGUACUAAUACAGUGGGGUCACGUGAUAGCAGGUUUCGGGAACCAGGUUAGAGUUCCAGUUAGGAUUCAAGCUUAGUUGUGUGUUAGGUCGAGUGCGUGUUCGACCGGUAUGGAAAGUGUUGUAAGACUACACAGGUAGCCAUAGCAUUCAUUAGCGAUCAGAUNUUCAAGCUUAGUUGUGUGUUAGGUCGAGUGCGUGUUCGACCGGUAUGGAAAGUGUUGUAAGACUACACAGGUAGCCAUAGCAUUCACUAGCGAUCAGAUGGUAUGGAAACUGUUGUAAGACUACAGGGGUAGCCGUAGCAUUCACUAGCGAUCAGAUAUUAUGGAAAGUGUUGUAAGACUACGGGGGUAGCCGUAGCAUUCACUAGCAGUCAGAUAGUAUGGAAGUGUUGUAAGACUACGGGGGUCGCCGUAGCGUUCACUAGUGGUUAGUUAGCAUGGGAAGUGUUGUAAGACUGUGGGUAUAGCCGUAGCAUUCACUAGCGGUCAGAUAGUGAUAGAGUGUUGUGAGACUGUGGGUGUAACCGCAGCAUUCACUAGGUUAGUAGAUAAGUUUGAGCGCGUUGUUAGGACGCAAAAGGAAUAAUAGUACCCACCAAUUCGGGUGUAGCAUUAAGGAUAAGGAAAUCCACGAAUUGGAUUUCGGAAUUACCCAGAUGGAUUAGUUAUGGUUGAGCCAGUGAUAGGACUGUAGGAGCGCCACUACAGUUAUGGGAUCAGGAAAGCAAUGGACUGUAUAAGAUUGUGUGUGAGAUAAGGCUACCGUUGGUCAUGGAGCCAUCACUUUUAGCCUUGGAUUCGGUAACGUUAGGAUUCGACGCAUGGACCCGAUCAGUUGGAUCAGGAGAUUGUUAGAACCACAGUGGCAUGAUAACUAGUGGCAACUAGUUCUAGAGAAGGAUUUCAUUCAGAAGUCGACUAAGUGUGGAGCCCUUUGGCUCCGCAGCCGACCCGGAACCUGGUGUUCAGAUGAUUGGGAACGGAUUGAGACCAGAAGAGGUCUCGUUAGAUUUUGGAAAGCAGCCAUGUGGCAACAUUCUGCUUGAGGCAGUUUCAGCACUUGGGCAGGGUUAGUAUUUGUGUUUUAGGUUGCAAAUACAGACGUAAUAGCCGGUUGAUUAGGAAGUGACAAGUCACUCACAACGGGAUUAUCUGUGCCUUGGUCAAGUAAUAGUGGUCUGCAAGGAUAAUUGGGUCUGUGACCUUGUUUUAUAGUGUGAACCUCGAGCUAUCAGAAGUUGAGUAGUCAGUUGAGGGAUAAACAUGCUAGAUUCAACGAUAUUGAUUCAGUAUAAGUGGCCUAUUAGGGAUUCAGACCAUCCCGAGACAACAAAUUUCAGAUGAAGUAGAUGUGAUCUUGUUGCAAGGAAUUCGUUCAUCUGCGGAUUUUAGAGCUUUGCGAAGAUUGGUCACGGCUACCCUGGGAAGGCUAGGGUGUGCCCAGGAUGCUGACCAUGUUUAUAGGGUGGUUCGGCGUGUAUGGAAUUGUAAGAAAUGAUUUCGAGGACGAAAUCUAAUCUAAGUGGGGGAGAGUUGUAACACCCCGUUUAUUAAAUAAAUAAACAGAUAAAAUUAAUGGAUGAAUGGUAGCCAUAAGGUCCAUAAUAUUUAUCAGGGUGUUGGUUUCGGGGAGUCGAAUGACAUGAUUUAGAGUUUCGUGGAUUGAAGUGUAAAAUUCAGACUUAAUUUGUAAGUAUUAUUGAAGGCAGGGACUAAGUGGUGAAUUAUUGGGACUCAAAUUGAAGAGAUUUUGGAAGCUUAGGCGCUGAAUGGUAGCAUAUAAACUUCAUUUGAGAACAAUUUGUAGAAGAGGGGCUGAUUGGUAAAUUUUGGACUUUAUUUGCAAGGGAUUUCUGGCCAGGGGUUAAAUCGUAUUUUCCAAAAACUGUUUUGUCAUAAUAAUCUUAAAUCAUGGUAGAAAUAACCACCUGAUCAAACCCUCAGGACCAAUUAUGCCAAUUUCAGAAUUUGGCUUGUCUCAUUCUCCCCAAUCGGAUGCAGAUCCUGCUGGGAGUAUUUCUUACUCAUUUUAGGACCAAUAAUCUCAAUUGCUUCAAAAGACCCCAACACCCUUCUUCCACUUAUAUAUUCAUACUUUUCAUGGAUUAGGGUUAAGAAUGAGUGAGUGUCGCUUGAGAGGCUGCAUCAUGUAGUUGUGUUUGUGAACUUUGACUCACUCCCUUAACAGUCGAUGACUGCUAUCAUCUCUGGUGGAGUGAGCAAGUGUGAUUUAUUUCAUUCAUAAAAUUAAGGUAUGAGAGACGAAGUGCAUCGCUAGGAAUGGGUGGCAGGGGAUAUGAAGCCCGACGACUUGGGAGGAUGUUUAACGAGAAGUUGACUUCCGACAGCAGGUUUCCGGUGGGUUUUAGAAGCUAUGUUGAGUAUCGUAUUCACUCUAGGCGUUCACACUAAGUUUCUUGAUGAGAUUUUGUUCCAGUCGAAGGGAGGCUCAAGCGAAUAUGUGGAGAGUUAAUGCGAUAACCGGUUGUGACUAGUGAUCUGUUAACAUUCCAAUUUCUAAGCAACUCCAAUGGCGAGGUUUAAGCACCUUUUCAGCUAGAAAGGAGAGUGGGGAGAGAAAACUGAGAAGGCAACUCUAGUAGGUCGGUUCUUGCAUUCAACGAUCGUCGUAUUAGACGGUGCUAGAGGGGUUGUCGCCGGAGAAGCUUAAAUUGUCGGAAUUGAAGAAGGGCGUCGAUUGCCGAAUGAAUAGGUGUCCUUCUCGUAUCUAUGUGAGAGUUCGGGAAUCUGUCAGCCAGCAGCUGGGGUCGAGUAUGUGGGACUUCAGCAAGUGUGUGAUUAUGUCUUCGGGACUUCAACAGUGUGAGGUGAGUUACCUUCCAAUAGCGGUGGGUCUAAGGCCACAAUGUCGGCCCACCAGUAGGAGUUGUAUGUUAGAUGAUUGUCUUUGUGAUAUCAUCUAGGUUUGCUACUACCUGAAAUGUUAUAUGCUGGCAUGAUAUGUUAUAUGUGAUAGUAGUAGAGUUCGGUUGUUAGGACCGAAAGGUAGGUCAAACACCCCAUAUAUGUCUAACAGUAUGUGAUGAUAUGUUUAUAUGAUGGCAUGAUAUGUUAUAUGUGAUAGUAGUAGAGUUCGGUUGUUAGGACCGAAAGGUAGGUCAAACACCCCAUAUAUGUCUAACAGUAUGUGAUGAUAUGUUUAUAUGAUGGCAUGAUAUGUUAUAUGUGAUAGUGGUAGUAGGAGGGGAAUAGUCCCCAAGUUCGGUUGUUAGGACCGAAGGGUAGGUCAGCACCCCAGAAUGGCUUGACAUGGGUCCCAGAAUGGCUUGACAUGGGUCCCAGAAUGGCUUGACACGGGUAGGUCAGCACCCCAGAACGGUCGUACCGGGUAGGUCGGCACCCCAGAAUGGUCGUACCGGGUAGGUCGGGCACCCCAGAAUUGCCCAGCAGUAUGUAUGCUUUGUGAUUGUAUGGUAUGUGGUAUGAUUGGGGAACUCACUAAGCUUCGUGCUUAUGGUUUUCAGCUUUGGUUUCAGGUACUUCGUGUUUAAAGGAAAGGAGCCAGCUUGAUCGCAGUGCAUCACACUAUGGUUUUCCGCACACGAGAUCUUGGGGAUUACAUUCUGAUAUUGUUUUACGAUAACAUGUUUUGAUUAUUCUACUUUGGUUUUGACAUGACAUGAUGUUAUGGAUGUUUUCUUAUACUGUUGGUUUUAUAAUAAUAUAUUUAAAAAUGAAAUUUUUGGCCUGUAAUUUUGGGAUAUUACACAUUGGGUAUCCACUCUUACCCACCACACCCUUGACUAACGGAGGGUCGUUAGCCGAACGGGUUUGAUAGGACACUUAAAUCCUCAUUAAAAGUAUAAUGAAAUACCAAGUAACUAAAUAUUUUAUAAAUUCCCAAUCUUAGUUACUUUAGGAAAGAUAUGAAUUUAAUGCUAACCUAUGAAAUUGCACAUUGCACCUUAUUGGUCGUUAGUGGAGCGUGUGCGAUAAAUCAGCACACUAAUAUGGGACUAUUGAAAGAUGGAAAUGGGUAGCUCAUGAAUUAUCAUCGAUCAAUGAAGCGUGUGUGGUUAACCGACACAUUGAUUAGGUGAUUAAUGACAUUGAGAGUGCCAAGCUGAUUUGCAUGGUUAUUCACACCUUGUUUGUGAUCCUCGGUAUCCCAGUCACAAACUUGAAGGCCAUAAUCGAAAUUAAACAUGCCAUUGAAAAAUUCAAUGAAUCUCAAAAGAUCUAGGAGUUUCAUUUAAAAACCUAAUUCAUUUAAAAAAUUUCGUUUUCGUGGUGGAAUUGGUAAAUCGUCAUUUACCUACCGAUAAAUAGUUUGCAAUUGGAUUACGACAUCCCUCUUCCGAAUUAUAAAUUAUUGUGUCGGGUCGUAGACUUAAUAUUUCAUUUGGGUUUUAUAUUAAGGAUUGAAUCAACUAUCUUGAAUUCCACCCCCCCCCCCCCUUUANCCCCCCCUCUUGUAGAUGUCUAGUUUUCACAACUAUGGUCUACCUUAUCCUUUUGGAAAAAACUUUCCACAUGAAGAUAUCGUUCCACGUUUCGAUCGAGGAACUAGAAAUCAUUCUUCACUUCCUCCACCUCCUCAAAUAAUUCUCCCCGACCCACAUGUUCGUCGACUUGAAAAGUUCAUGGUCACUCAAGCCCUAUUGGUCAGUAAACACGAAGAUGGAAAGUCUUUCUGUGCUCACGUCUUGGAGAUGAAGUUGCAUAUUGAUAGUCUGCUGGGAAUGUUGGGUGUCGCUUUUUCGAGGAAGUUGGCUGUUGACUUGGCUCUUCAGCCACUUCCCAAGUUGUAUGGUCAAUUUUUUAGAGACUACUAUAUGACAGAUCACGAUGGGACCCUUAUUGAUCUUACAUAUUUGCUAAUUGCUACUGAAUAUCAACAAUGAUUUGGCGCACUAGUCAAGCGAAUUUGAUUAGAAGAUCUACAUCCCAAAUUGCCAUGGACAUACUCAAUGACAUAGACAUCCCAAAAAUGAUUCCUUCUCCUAAGCGAAAGGAAUUAGAUAUGGUCAAAAGAAUUUACCAUAAGAGAAAAGCCAGUUCUGAGAUAGUUUCAUAUGCGAAUGCAAAAGAGUCCACUUGUUUCUACUGCCAUUUAAAGGGACAUUGGAAGCGAAGCUUCCCUGACUACCUGAGAGAAGAGAGGGUAAAAUCAAGUUGUAUGGUUCUACUCCAGGUAAUUCUACUAUCUAACUAUAUUAAGUUCCUAUUUAUAGAUUCUUAAUACAUGAUGUGAUAAGAUUGCAUUUUGAUGUUCUGUAGGAUCGAAGAAAAGAAAGGAAGCUUAAAGGAAAAGUGAGUUGAGUCUGGUCGCGAAGAGAUGGAUUUCGAUCGCAUGGUUCGAUGAUUAGAUUUUUGAGCUGCUAUUUAGAAGUUAUGAUAGAUUGCUUAAGAAUAUUUAGAAACAUAGUUUUCAUACGUAUUUGCUUUGUAAGGACAAGUUUUCCGCAUUUUUUAUAAAUAAAGAAAAAUCUUGAUUUUGUCUUAUUUUAUAUUAUCCUUGCAAUGACAUUGGUGAAAAUUGGUGUUCAUAUAUUAAUAGCAAAGAUGGAAAUGUUUGAUUCUUAGACAUAUCAAGUGUGGUAGUGUCGUGAUUUUCUAAGUAAGGAAAGAUUCUCAUCGCCCAAGCUUCAAUUGGAAAGAAACUUGGAAUAAUAUGAUUUGAAUCAUGUGAUGCAUGAAAAUCUUGGUACUUGGGAAAUUGAAACUGAUUCCUUGUUUACAUAUGUAUGUAAGUCAAGUGAAAGAUGAAAGGAUCUAGCACACAUUGAUGUGCACUGGUCAGAUCCACCACAAAGUACGAUAAAGUCUAUUCGUCAUGAUUUACGGGAAGUCCAGUGAAUAUGGUUAUGCUUACAAGAUUAAGUGUAAUUCUGAAUCAUUAAAAUUUUUUCAAUGUAUAGCAUAACAAAUAAGAAGAAUCAAAUAAGGCAGAAAGAGAAAUGUUUCUCCAAUCUGAAAGGAAAGGAGAGUACUUUAGUAUCGCUUUUUUUAUCAUCCUAAUGAUUAUGGAACCAUGUGACAAUUGAUCCUCAAAGUACACCUUAGUGAAUUUGCAUGACUAAGAAGAGGUAUCGUAAAUUGUUGAAAUGGUUAAAUGAAAAAAAUGUGAGUCAUACUUCGUUCCAAAAUCGAGUCUUAGAAUCACACUCCAAGAUUGUGACUUGACUGGCGUAUCUUAAGUAGGUUUAUAACACAUCGUGAAAUGUGGAGUAGAAAUGUUUUCUAAUCUUUCAUAUUUCAAAUUGAUAGUUGUGAUGUUUGGCUAAAACAAAGACCAAUCAUAUGACGUGUCAUUCUUGAUAAGAAUCCAUACUAACUCUUGAAUAAUUGUUUAUCAAGAAAUGCUUCUUGAGAAGAGAAUCUUUUAUGUCAAGUAUAUAUAUAUAUAUAUAUAUAUAUAUAUAUAUAUAUAUAUAUAUAUUUAUCAACCAUUAUAUCCGUCAUCACAAUCCUUCAUGAAAUGGUGCCUAUUUUUUCAACUAAAACAACAUUUCAUGUUGUAUGAUGGAUUGUAGAUUACAACUCAAAAUCUUGUCUUAACCCAAACAUGCGUAAUACAAAGUUUUACCUUAUCUUUGAUUUUUCUUUCAUACACCAAAUUUUACUUUGCUUUGUUGUCAUAUAAUGCUUACACAUAUCAUUUUUACCAUCCAAACUAAUUCCCUACACAUGUGUUUAUAAGAGAAAACAUCAUUCUUACCAAAAUCUUUUUGACUGGUGAUCAUUAUUCUUUUCUUCAGAGCCUUAAGCAUUUAAGUCAUUAUCGUAUAAUACCUAAUAGGAUGUAGCAUCCUAAAAAUACAGGCCAAAAAUUUCAUUUUUAAAUACGCCAUUAUAAAACCAACAGUGUAAUAAAACAUCUGUAAUAUCAUGUCAUGUCAAAACCAAGUAGAAAUAAUCAAACAUGUUAUCAUAAAACAACAUCAGAGUGUAAUCCCAAAGAUCUCGUGUGCGGAAAACCAUAGUGUGAUGCGCUGCGAUCAAGCCGACUCCUUUCCUUUAAACACGGAGUACCUGAAACCAAAACUGAAAACCGUAAGCACGAAGCUUAGUGAGUUCCCCCAUCAUACCACAUACCAUAUAAUCACAUAACAUACAUAUAUUGUUAAGCAUAUCUUGGUGCCCGACCUACCCCUUCGGUCCUCUCGACCGAAUACUGGCUAGCAUAUAUGGGUGUUGGCCUCCCAAUCGGUCCUCUCGACCGGAUACUGACUAGCAUAUCUGGGUGCUAGCCUCCCCUUCGGUCCUCUCAACCGGAUACUAACUAGCAUAUCUGGGUGCUGGUCUCCCCUUCGGUCCUCUCGACCGGAUACUGACUAGCAUAUCUGGGUGCUAGCCUCCCCUUCGGUCCUCUCAACCGGAUACUAACUAGCAUAUCUGGGUGCUGGUCUCCCCUUCGGUCCUCUCGACCGGAUACUGGGGACUAUUUCACCCCUAUUACUACCACAUAACACAUAUCACAUAAUCUAUCUAGCAUGGCUGGGCAUGACUACCCCUUCGGCCCUAUCGAUCAGUAAUCUGGGGACUAUCUCCCCUACUGUCACUAACACAUAGCAUCAUAUCAUAAUAGCACAUAAACAUAUUAGGUAGUAGCAAACCUAGAUGAAUAUCACAGAGACAAUCAUCUAAUCAUACAACUCCUACUGGUAAGCCGACAUUGNCCGUAGACCCACCGCUACUGGAAGGUAACUCACCUCACACUGCUGAAGUCCCGAAGACACAAUCCCACACUUGCUGAAGUCCCGCAGACUCGACCCCAGCUGCUUGCUGACAGAUUCCCGAACUGUCAACACCAAAAUAACACCCAAUUAAUAAUUGGGUCCCAAUACGUAACCAUACAUACAUUCUUUGGGUAAAUACAUUACCCCUAGCUUGGCUUAUUCAAGCCUAAGGCCCAAUCCGUAAGCCCAAAGUCAAUUAGGAAUCAAAGCCCAACACAUGGCCCAGUUUUCCAAAUUGGGCCUGGGCCUAGGCCUAUACAUGGUCUCAUUCUAAGGCCCAACAUCAUAUAAUCAUUAAGGCCCAAACUAUGGCUUAUCUAUGGCCCAAUUUUCCAAAUUGGGCCAAACCCCUUACAUGGGCCUUACCCUAGGUCCAUUAAAUUACUCUAGACUAUUUGCUUGAUCUUGGAUAGCCCAUUUAAUAACCCAAUCAUCAAGGCCCAAUAGAAAGACGCAACAAUAAACCCAAGUGAAAUUAGGGUUUCACAUAAAAUGAUGAUUAGGGUUAAGUUUCCUACUUAACCCAUUAAGGACUUAAUUCAUUAAGUCCAAUAUUGCUUAGAUUAAUUCCUGCCAAUGAUUAUUAUUUAAUAUAUCAAGUUAUUAAAUAAUUCUCGUGUGUGUGACCCGAUUAAUUCUUAAAGUUAGGUUUUCACUGGCAUUAGGGUUUUCCAGUCCAAAUAUUAGCCCAUUUAUCAAUUUGUUGGCCUUUUAUGUCAAUUAGGGCUUUCUUGGGCCUAUUAAGCCCACUAAAAUCUUAAUAAGCCCAUUAGGGUUUUAUUGGGUCCAUUAGAGUCCAUUAAGCUUCAUUGGGCCCAUUAGAGCUCCUUUAAGCCCAUUAGAGUUUCACUAAGCCCAUUAGGCUUCAUUAGGCCCAUUAGGGUUUCUAGCACCCCAAACGAAUCAAUCACAAGAUUAGCACACCGCCACCUGACACGNGGCGGCAGCCACCACCCUAAGGUGGUGGUUUUCAAGUUCCUUUCAUUAUUCCAUUUUUUGUUACAAUUACAAUGAAAAUACCAAAGUAACACACCCACUAACUAAGCUAAACAUACACACACAUAACCACCUUGGUUGCCGGCGGUGGUGAGUGGUGGCUGUGGUGGCUUUUCUUGUAAAUUCCAACUAAGCAAAACACACAAACACACCUGCUGCUAACAAAACUACAACCACACCCACCCAUGCUUCGUUUUUCAAGCAUCCAGCCACCCCUUCCGGUGGCGCACGACGGCGAUAUCAAUAUCUUGCCAUAACAGCCACCACCUCAUGGUGGUGGCGGAGGAGUUUUCUUCCAAUCUUCAACCAUGAAACGAUCCUCUAGACCUCACUAGCGAAACACACACAUACAAAAAUUGGAUCCCACUCACAGCUGCCCAUACACGGCGGUAUGCGGCGCUUGGACGACAUGGAGGCAUCGGAACAACGGCUGGAGUGGCAGUGGCGGCGUAGCAGCAACACAGAAUGGAGCGGAGAGGAGAGGAGAUCCGUCGCUGGGAGCAGUGGAGGAAGAACCAAAUGACGGCGACAGUGGCCUCCGGCUUUGUCAUCUGCGGCGACGGUUGAGAAAACGACAUCAGCCCUGAUGUCGAGCUUCGAUCCCUUCGUCGAAGUCGUAAUGGCAGUCGCUCUUGGCUCACUGGAGUGUUACGGAGGCGACGUCGGAGGUGAGUGAAGGAGGGGUGACGGCUGGAGGGAGGGGGGGUGAUGGGUGCACAUAAGGGGGGGGGGUUAGGGUUUGCUAACCGGUGAAGCAAGGUUUUAUACUUGAGGCUAGUAAACAUUAUGCCAUAACGACAUAAACAGUCCCUCCUUCCCAAUCUCUUUUCAAACUCGGUCCUUAUUUUACCAUUUCAACCCCAAUCCUGGAAAUCCCUUACAAGUGAAGUCCCAUACUUUACUAAUCAGCCCCUCCUUCCAUAAAUCUUUCCAUAAUAAAUCCCAAAACUUACCGACUAGUCCCUGCCCUUAGAAAACUUUACAAAUUGAAUCUGGAAUUUACCAUUUCGCCCUUGUUUCCCAAAAUCUAUUCAAAUUAAAUCCCGAUAAUGGUAUUUUAGCCCCUUAAACUUUCAAUUAUGAUUUUUUAACCCCCGAAACUAACUUCUUGCCACACUAUUCCGCUUUUAGGGAUAUUAUGUAUUUAUUACUUUACUUAUUUAUUAAAUAAAUAAAUAGGGUAUUACAUAGGAUGUCAUCAUACAACAUUCUAAUUAUCACAAUAAAUGACUACUUUAAUCUAAUCACAUAAUCUUACACUAACAUCACACAAACAUCCUGCUAUAAAAAGGACAUAUAUUUUCACACACAACAUAAUGAGAAAACUCACUUGAAGCUAGAAAUCUAAGUCUCACACACAAGAAUCCUCAAAUGAUUCAACUAGCACGAACCACUAAAAUUUACCAAUCAGGGGUCAAACCUUAGCCCGAAAAUUCAUGUUCCUGAAUGUUUGACCAAAAUUCAAAUUUGUCAAAUGUCAACGGUCAACAUAAAACACAUUGCAACCAACAUUUGGUCACAUCAUGACCAUUAUAAUCCAAAAUAGUGUUGAACCAUACCACGCUUCGCACUGCAACUAAGGGUUGGGCGUGUGUCACUUCUUGGGCAGAACACCCACGUCUAUGAAGUGCUUAAUCCAUUAAGCCAGGGGCUAUAACUAUACAAACACUAUCUUGGAAAGUGUAUAAUGGAGAAAAAUCCAAAGUUUAUCAACAUGCAAACCCCUACCAUCCCAAACACUAACCCUGGGUCAAAACAAGGUCAAAAAAGGCUAAGACUUUUUUCCAUGGUUCAAUGAAAGCUUAGCAUGCACUCUUUUUCAUCUUAUUGAGUCCAAAAAGCCAUCUAAGACAACCCACAAACCUAGAGUUUUCCAAACUCCAAGGACCACAUAGCAAAAAGGACCAAACAUACUUAAACACUAGAUCUAGAUGCCAAAAAAACAUAAAGAUGCAAACUUUAACACUUACAGAGAAAAAAUAGAUGACAAUAAGUUUGAUACUCUUCGAAUCUAAACUCCUUUGCACCAAAGCCGCCUUCCUUCUUCUUAGAACUUCACUCAAAUUGCACUAAAUCUCAUUAAUCCAUGAAGGAAGCUAGGUUUCCUACUCUAGUGUUUAUGGAGGAUGGAGACUGAGAAGAAAGAAAACCCUAGGAGUUUGUGCCUUUAAAUAUGGUUCAAAACUCGAGACCUAAGAUUUUUGGUUGUGGAUGCUACACAAUGUGAACCGUUAUAGAACACAUCAAUCGUCAUGACUUAUCGAGUUGGCAAGUGUUGCGACCAUCAUUUGGCUGCGUCACAAAGUUAAUUCCUUCCUAAACCAUCAUUCUUAUUUCCUUUAAAUCAAUAAAUAAACACACACAAAAAAUAAGUGUUAUAGAGUGAUUCCCUUGAGUUAUCAGGAAGUAGUUCCCUAAACUCUAAAGAAUGGAGGGAGUGAUUCCCUUGAGUUAGAGGAAGUUAUUUUGUAAACUCUAAAACUUUGGAGGGGGUGAUUAUAAUGAGUUAUAAGGAAGAUAUUUCCUAAACUCUUAAGCUAUAUUCUUAGCGAUGGAAUUUUCUACAACCUUCCAUGAGUAUAAUGGUAAUAGUCACAUGAUUAUCUACAUGUUCCAGUAGAUUAGUUUCUCUUACAUGAACUUUGUUGUCCUAAUUGACUUACUUAUUUUGUUAAUGGCAACAUGUUAUCCGUGGGUAGCUUCAACUUAGGAGAAGCCAUAGAUCAUUUAGACCCUAGAGUGUGAGGGGGCUUAUUUAAGAGUAGAGAACUCUGGUUAGGGUUUAGGGGUAUAUGCAUUUUCAUAGUAUAAAAUUUUAUGGUCGUUUACUUAUAUUUCUUGAAAAUCUUUUAUAAAAUGUUUUGAGAAUUAAGACAUAGGAAUUGGGUCAUUUCAUUACCUAAUUUCAUUCAAAGAUCUGAUUCUGAUAUUGCUCACUGGGCUCCCUAAACCUUAACUAUUUUGAUAUGUACUUGAAAAUAAGGAUGAUAUAUUUGAAUGUUUAGAAGGCCAUAACUUGUUAUAAUUCAUUAAAAUUUUGUAAUGAUAUUUGAUUGAUCAACCUCAUAUUUGAAAUUAUGAUUUUUCAAACAUUAAUCGUUAAAUUGAGCUUUUAGGAUCAAAUUCUGACACGUUGGUUUCACAAAUAUAUUAAAGUUUUAAAAGAACAAAUUAAAUCUUUUAUACCAUACGAGGCGUAUUUAAAAUGCACACUAGGCCAAACGUCUCACAUGUUGGUAUUGUAGAUUUUGAAUUGCCAAACAUCUCACAUGUUGUUGGUAUUGCAAAUUUUGAAUUGCCAAACAUCUCACAUGUUGUUGGUAUAUACAAGGGCAAGAAAGAAGUUGAUGUUACUAGUUAUUUACAUGAUAAUCUGGCUAGAUAUGCGAUGGACAUACGAAGUACAUGAGCUAUGGUAUCUAUUUGUGUGAUAAUUUGGUUAUUUGUGUGUUUGUAAAACAAAAAUAUGUGGCAGUCUCUUCAUGUGGGGCUGAUUUUAUGGCUGCCACAACGACUUGUUAAGCAAUGUGGAUUCAUCGUCUUCUCAGUGAAAUAACAUGUAAAUGUGGAUUCAUCGUCUUCUCAGUGAAAUAACAUGUAAAUGUGGAUUCAUCAUCUUCUCAGUGAAAUAACAUGUAAAUGUAGUGGACAUGUUAGCAUUUAUUUCGACAAGUAAAGUAUAAAUCUUGUAAAACACACGGUGUUCGAGGAUAAGAGUAACCAUACGAUAGAAGAUUUCACUCCAUUGGCACAUAUGAAGUUCAUGAAAGUGUAAGAGUUGUUGGCCAUGAAGAAUAUAUCAAAUUCUAAAUUAGGGGGAGGGGGGGGGGUAUUGUAAUAAUUCACAAAUAUGGAAAGUUUCCUUAUUUUGUUUUUAGUCUUUAUUCUUUCCUCAGUGUUUGUAUUAGAUUAGAUAUCAAUUCCUUUACUAUACCAGAGUAAAUCUUUGAUGUUUCUCAUUAAGUCUUUCAUUUUUCAUGAGUAAAAACUUAGAGAACAAGUUUAAUAUUUAUGAAGGUUCUAAAUAACGUUAAGUGAGGACUUGACGACAAUGUCAAGCCUUAAGUUUUUACAAGAAAUGACGAGCCACGUCAUUUAUAAGGCAUGACUUAAGAUGACAAAUUUAUAUAUAAUUCAUAAUUCCAUUUGUAUUUUCUAGUUUUAUUCAUUUUUAUAUAAAUAUAUGACUUAAGGUGACAUUUUAUUAAAAUUUGACGAUAAGUACAAGCCUUGGAGUCAUGACAAGCUCAGGGCCGGUCCAGACGGUGGGCAACCCGGGCGACCGUCCAGGGCCCACGUCUCCAGGGGACCAAAUUAUUUUUAGGGUCUAAAGUUGGUUCAAACUCAAACUAGCUCAAAAAAUAAACAAUUUGACUUGCUUGUUAUUGCUAAUUAUACGCGUUUAUAGGGAAUAAUAAAUGAUAUUUUUUUAAUCUUUAUGAUAUUUGUCUUUAAGGGUCCUUUCUUUCUUUUCGCCCGAGGCCCCAUAUACGUUUGGAGCGGCUUGGACAAACUUUUUAAAACCUUAUAUUUACCGGUGUUCCUCUGUUAUAUUUCUCGUGUUAACUCCACCAUUCUUUUGUUCUUUUGUUCCUCUAUUACAAGUUUUUCUUAUGUCCAAAGGCAUAAGCAGAUGAAUACAAUAGGUUUGUUUGUUUUAGUUCUUUUGUUAAAAUUUUCUAUUUUGUCUGUUUUUUUUUAUUUUAUUUAUAAUAAAAAAAAUCAAGGCUGAAGGUCAUUAAUUGGCUUUCUUACAACUCGCGGUUUGUUGAUGAAAAGACGUUUUGUUUAGUAAAGUUAUAGCAUAAGAUGAGCAAGCAAUUCUUCCGUAAAUUAGAAGUUACCCAAGAUCACCAAGUUAAUAAUUUCAGUCACGAAAAUGAACCUUUCAUGCAAGUCACGCGUUUCAGACAGUGCCACCUUGCUUUCGUCCUUAUAUAUGGAUCUGAAUUUUUGCAAUUAAAUUUAAAAUAUGAUGCAAAAUCAUUGUAUACAUAAUACAUAUAUCAUAAAUGUACAUGAAUAUUUUCUUAUUAGAAACUAAUGCAGCUAACUAUGAGUAAAAGGAUAAAUCCUAUCAAUGGCGGCUAUGUUACAAACCAUCCCGGCCAAUUCACACCCAGUGGUUAUCUCCUGACCUAAAAUAUGAUCACUGAAGCAACAACUAGUCCAAGGCUGGUCACAACCCAUAACACAUUGAUCUACCUCUUAAUUAACAAAAUCGUUUAACGGAUGUAAUUAGUUAACCAGCUGGAUAUGGAGAAAAUUGUCCACAUACGUGUAAGAUUUUAAUGUAAUUCAUCGAACAAAAUUGAUGCCGUUAAAAGAUCUGAUAUGAAGUGCUUAAAAACCACAAUAAAUGAACAAUUUGAGAACACAAAUUACAUUGGCUAUAUAUGCAAAUCGGUCCAUACAUUAAUUAGACUUGUUUGCAUGAUUAAUUAAAUACUUAAAAUUAAAAAAUAUGUCAUAAGUUACUCGCUAAUUUUCAUAAGCGGCCAUAACGGUGUACCGUAUAUGAUUCGAAUCUUUGUUAUAUACAGAGACUAUUCAUUUGCGAGAUAUAGAUUUGUUUAUUGAUAAAACGAAAAGAGAUAAAUAGAUGUAUUAAUCAUAAUAUUAGAACCAUAAAAUAUUGGAAUCGCAAUAGAGACGUAGAACAAGUAAACCACAAGUAACAACUCCCCAUAACCCUGCACCUAACAACCAUACCUUAAACUUAAACGGCCAAAAAGACAAACGGAUGACAUCGUACUAGAAAAGUAGAGUAAAAACUGACAUGCAAUAAUAUGUGGUACGUACGUCCACUCCAAAAUAACGGUAAAAUCUAAAACAAUUAAGGAACUAUGAUACCGCCUCCGAUUCCACCACCUUUAACUAAGCCAACACCGCCGCCAAGACCACCAAGCCCAGCACCACCGACGCCACCUGCACCACCACCAAUACCACUUGCACCGCCAAGACCGCCAAGUCCACUUGCACCACCAAGUCCACCGGUACCGCCGAGCCCACCAACACCACCAAGUGUUGGAAUUACACCUCCACCUACACCAGCAAAGCCACCAACACCACCGAAUGCGAUGAAGUUCUUCUCGUCUUUAACACCAGCUCCUCCACUUGGUACAGUGGCAGUAGCGACAUCAACGGUGGUGGGAGUCUUGUCACUCAGGGUGGUCGUGGGCAUGUCUCUUGCAUUGCUUUGCACAAAAAGUACAAGUGCACAGACUGCUACGAAGUACAACUUCACCAUCUCUAUCUCUCUCUCACACACACACUCUCUAUCUCUCUCUCAGACACACACACUCACUAACACAGAAAAACCGAGGGGAUGUUUGAGGUGAUGGAAGGUGGUGGUGGAGGUGGCUAUUUAUGGAGAAAAGAAACGGUGGUGGACAGUUGUAAUGGCUGAAAGAGUAAAUUAACGAGGUGCAUGGAAUUAAUGUACUUUGUUUUGGUUGUGUGAGGAAUUAAAUAGUGUUGCAUGGAAUCAGAGUUAGGUGGCGGGAGAAGUGUAUGAAAAGAAGAGAAAAUUUAAGAUGGUGAGAGUCAUAAGUCAACACCUUGUUCUUUACGAUAGCACCAGGGUGAGUUCAUUGGGUAGUUUGAUAUGUCUUUUUCAUAUAAUCUUAAGAAAAUUCGAGUUCGAUUUGAAAUUUCAAAAUUUCUUAUUAAGAUUAGGGUUGACCACACAUUUUUUUUUAAGGGAAAACAAAUUAUAAGACGAACGAAGUUUCAAAAUCAUUAAAAAAACACCAAUUAUGUUUUGUCUAUUCAAGAAAACCCAACGAACUUAACAUUUUGUCUAAAAAACCCAACUAACUUAUAUUUCUUAUUUAGGGUCAACCGGCUAAUGAAAGUCAACGAAUGACAUGACUUAUGACGUGUAAUUAAAUAUCGGAAAAUGGCUUGUAAGACCAACGUAGUUUCAAAACCGUUCAAAAACCCCCAAUCAUGUUGAAUGAUUGGGGGUUUUUGAACGGUUUUGAAACUACGUUGGUCUUACAAGCCAUUUUCCGAUAUUUAAUUACACGUCAUAAGUCAUGUCAUUCGUUGACUUUAAUUAGCAUGUUGACCCUAAAUGGGAAGUGAACGAGAGUGUAAGUUGAGUUUUUUUAUACAAAAUGUUAGUUUGUUGGGUUUUCUUGAACAGACAAAACAUAAUUGAUUUUUUGAAUGGUUUGAAAACUUCGAUAAGCUUUUAAGUCAUUUUCCCUUUUUUUUUUAUCAAUCAGACACCUUGAUUAUUAUUUUUUCAUGAAAAUCAACAUUAAUAGAUAGAUAACCGAGAAACCGACACUACAAGAAAAAUAACCAUUACCGGCGACAUCAAAAGCAGCGACAUGGUCCUUUAGCGGCGACAUAUCAAUUUGUCACCGCUAAAGGUCAAUGACACGGAUCUGCGUUUUCAUAUUUUGUUAAACUACGUUUGUUGGAUCGUGUUUCUAAUCCAAUGGUUGGGGUACUCGUGGAACGCACAAAACCAAUACCGGCGAGACAGGUGCCCGCUAAAAACCUAAUCAUGUCGCCGCUAAAUAUGGAAUAAAUGCCGCGUUAAAUAUAAAAAAAUGGCGCAACAAUAAUUCUCUCCUAAGUGUCGACUCUAUUGAUAACUGUCGCCACUAAAGCCCAUUGCGAUGCCGACAAAGGUAUCGCCGGUAAAGGUUGACGUAGUUAACAAAAAAAAAA
rnacentral:lncRNA from 1 species